rnacentral:lncRNA from 1 species
GAAUAAAGAUGUAUAACCGAUAAAGAUGUAUAACCGGCUAAACAAAUAUAAACAUAUCUCUAGUGAUGACUUUAUUUAGAUACUCUUUCUCAGUUCUAUUAGAAAAUAAUAUUUCCCAAUGCUACCCCUAAAACUUACCAUGCAAAUGGGUGAUCAAGUCACAAGCAAUAAUAUUAAGCACAUGAAAAGAUAAUGCAAAUAUAAUAUUCAUAAAUAGAUAGGAAGAGAAAUUACAUUAAGAGUAAUUGGCUGCCAUAUUUCUAACAAAGAGGGUUUAGCCUCUCAUUGUCAUGGAGACUUUACAAUUACAAGCGAUGAAUAUUUAGUAACAGGGGGAAAGAUAAGAAAGGGAAUGAAGCGAAAUAAUGACUCUCAAUGUUUGCUUCUCCUUCUUUUAUCUUUUGCCUUUUAUAAGAAAUUGUAUUCUCUUGGAAUUUUUGUGUGUCUUUUCCUUCUUCUUUCUUUUUUUAUAGGUGCAGAUUAACGGAAUUUUUGCACUAAUUAUUAUGCUUUUUGGAUUCUUCUCUCUUGGAAUCAGUCAUGUUUUCCUUAAUUAGUCUGAUUUCCUUAAUUAUUCCUGUCUUCCUGAAUUAUCCUAUUUUUUUGUGCUUUAUUUUACUCACUAAGCAUUAUAAAUCCAACGAUGUAAUUGCCAAGGGUCUUUGGAUGUCUUCUUCUAGAGUAUCUAGAGGUACCUAGUAGAAUGCUCACUCUUCAAGGCGUGCAAAUUCUUAAAGAUUUUACCACAGUGGUAGAUGUUGCAAAGGUCAUAACAUUAAUUAUUUAGUAAUAUUUAAAAGGUGUAAAUAUAUUUUUGAUUUCUUUAAUUUAAUGUUUUUUUUUUGUUCCCAAUUUUUUUUUUAAGUCUUUAUAAAAUGUAAUUAUUUAGUCCUUAAAAUAUUUUAAAUAACGUUUUAAACAGUAAAAAAUUUAAACAGAAAAAAACAUUAUUUAAAACACUUUAAAGAAAAUAAACAUAUUUUACAAGUACUAAAACAAAACAAAAAUUACAAGAAUAAAAAUAAAAAAAUACAAAAUUACAUAAAUAAAAAAUGUAUUUAAGCAUAUUUAAAAUCAUUCACUUGUUUGAAAAAGUUUACUCAUUGCAAUUCUUAUGUAACAAUACAUAAACAUUUUAAAGAAAUUAUUCUUAAGUUUAUUAAAAUUUAUUUUUUGGGUUAAACAUUUCAACUUUUUAGUUUUUUUUAUAUAGUUGUGUGCUUUUAGACAAAUAUUCUAUGCUAUGAGAGGUAUGUAAUAAUUUGCUUUUCUCCUCAACAAUCACAUAAAUAAACCUUUUUUAUAUAAGUUUUUAGGCUUCUAAUUCUUCUCUUAAAGUGUAUUUUAUGAGAACCACAUCUGGCUCUUACCUUUUGGUUGUAUAAACUACAAGUAUAUAAAAGAAAGGAAAUAGUUAUUAUAUUUAGAUUUAAAAGAUCAUGAUAUAACCUAUAUAACUAGAGGUGAAUGAACAUGAUAUAUUGAUUAAACUAUCGCAAUGUACAAAUAAUUAAUUAUUAUUUUUUAUAUUAAAUGUCAAUGUAGGCUUGUCAGUAACACAAUUCAUGAUUGCUUUUGAAAUAGUAAGAAAACAAUAAAGCUUAUUUAUAUUUAUAUGUAUAUUUUAUUUGUGAGAGCAAUGUGCAACAUCCUGUAUUUUUCAAUUUAUCUAAUAUGAAAAUACAAUAUCAUUUUAAUAAUAAGUAGUAUUAUUGAAUUUACGAUUGUGCUUAAAAUUAUAUUUUUAUAAAAUAAGAAUUUGAAAGAACACUUAUUUAAAUUUAGAGAAGAUUUUAUAAACUGAAAAAACUAAAAUUGGUGUAUAAGAUUAAAACUUAUAGCAAACAUUACUUUGAAAUCUUCUAAUUUAUAUUUCUCUAUUUACAUAAAUAAAUAAAGUACUAUUUUAUUUUACAUAAUAGUUUUACGAUUAUAUAUUAGUUAAGCUAAAAUAAUAAAUAGAACAUAUCAUUAAUUAGUUUUAAAAAAAUAUUAUAGAUAAUUACAAUUUUGUGUGUGAAUUAAAAAUGAAAAUUUUAAGUUUAAAUAUUUAAAAUAUUAAUAAAUAAAGCCUUAGUAAUUUUAUAUCUGUAUAGACUAUAGUUGAUAGGUAAAUUAAGUAAUUAAUUAAGAGAAUGUUAGGUUCGAUUAAAUAACUAAACAAUUGAAAUAGUAUUAACUAAUAUGGGGUUAUCAUUAGAUUAGUGGGUUUAAAUUUUGGUUCUCUUUUGGGCUUUACAAAACUGCAGGACCCAAUUGCUCUUUUAGGUGCGUAGUUCUUUUUGGGCCAAUUACACUCUCCAGAGUCCAGCUUAAUUCUACACCAAGUAAUGGAGCAAUUAUUAUCAAUCCUGGUGUCAGCUAUGCGUGAGUUUUGAAAGAGAUUGGGUGUGUGUUUGGUUUAAUCUUAAAUUGAACGGUACACAUUCCUAUGCAUAUUUUGUAUGAAGUAGAAAUUGAUAACAUUUGAUUCAAAGAUUGUUUGUGCGCCUUCCAAUGUUAAACGAAACUCACACUAGACUUUUAUAAAAUAAUCCAACGGCCAAAAAUUUAUGGGAGUUGCUAGAUUCUUGUAUUUGACAUAUGUGCUGAAACAAAACAUUAUUUUGUGCUUAUAAGAUUAUUGUGACAUGAGAGGUUAGUAUGAAAUUAUUAGUUAAAUUUGGAUUUAAAUUUUCAUUUGAGUGGGAGGGAGUGGGAGAGUGGUGAGACAUACAAUUUUUUUUAAGAGACUCCUUCCCGUGUAACCGUGGUGAGAAAAUGAGAGAGAUAUGAGAUUUGUUUUUAUACAAUUAAAACAAUUUGGGUUUCUGCAAUUUUGGGUGUUGCUUUGGCAAAACUCUCCUGGAGAAUCAAAUAUUGAUGUGGUGCAUUCCAACACUAACCACGUUUUGGUCCAAACACUAGCCAGACGAAUGCAAGUGUAGGAAAAAGUGCGUCUGUAGAUAAAGCAUAUACACAAUUAGUCAUAAACUAAUAUAUCCAUCACUACAAGACUCCUCAAUUUGAGCCAAAAUUAUCAACAGGUCAAUGUCAAACAUACAUUUAUUUAUGGAUUAUUAAUUUCUAGUGACAAAUCUUUUCCAUCACUACAAGUCAAAUUUAUUGUAGUGAUCUCCAGUUCUCCACUAUAACGACUAACUAUUUUAAAACAUUAGUCUUUUAUUUAUCAUAUAAAAAUAUAUUUUAAGAAAUAAAAAAUACCAUGAAUAGUGAAUAGUUAUAUGAUUAUGCUUUUGGAUAUUAAUUAUCAAUCAUUUAGUGUUAAUUUAUAAAAACUACUAUUUUGUAUUCUAUUUUUUUUUUCUCAAAACCUGAAUACCAUCGUCCAUCGGACUAUACUGAAAAUAAAAUAAAAUAAUUAUUACGAAAAAAUACAUAAAAGAGUUUUUGUGAUCGUAUAUGAUAAGUGUUUUUUCUAAUUCUCUCAAUAUCUAUAUAAUAUAAUUAAUAUGACUCACUUUAUUCUUUAGAAAUAAUAUAUUAGUACAUUAUAUCUUUAAAGAUAUUUUAAGAACUCUAAAAUUAUAACAUAUAAAGAUUUUUACUUUUGUAGAAAAGAACACACAUUGAUUAAAAAAUAUUUUAUAUAUAUAUAGUAUUUUUCUGGGGAUAAUGGCAUAACAUACGAACAUAUACUAUAAGAAAAAAAAAAAAACCCUAAGAUAUAAGGCGAUAUCUGGAUAGUUCUUCAUAUUUAAAAAAUUAUUGUAACAUUUUAAUUUUGAUGAUAGGAUUAGAGAAGGUAAUGGAAAGGGAUAUAUGAUUUGUCCAAAAAUAUUAAACAUGAUCGAGAAAGCUACUCUAUAGGGGGGUCAUCUCGUUUCCUUGUAAGACCACGUGUCGAAGCCAUGCCUAAUGACUUCACGUGCCAACGUGGUCCAAGUAUAUUCGAGUCAAAGGUAUAUAUACGUCGUAUCUUAUAACAUCAUGUUUCAGAGCCAUGUACACAGUAAAUGGUUUACCACUUCACGUGCUAAAUAGUGGUCCUUUGGUCCUAGACCUAGUUCACUAGAGUGGAAGAGGUAUGUGUUUAUUUUUCACAUGUUGUUAUUGUCAAUUGAUUAAAAAUUAUUUUAUACAUAAAAUUUAGAAUAAAUAUUUAAUUACGUAACAAUUUGUAAUUAAGUAAUAAUAUAGAAAAUUCCAUACUGUCAAAGUAUUUUAAAUAAAUUCUUUAUUAAAAAUAAUUGCAAAUAUAAAUAUUAUAAAUAAAUAAUAAUAUAGAAAGUUUCAUAUUAUUAAUUUGUUUUAUAUGAUUUCUUUAUCAUAAUAAUAGAAAACAUAAAUAUUAUAAAUCUAUAUUAAUAAUAUAAUAUGUUGUACUAACAUUUUAUGAUUUUAUAUAUAUAGUAUAUUACAUCAAUAGUUUCUAUCAUUAAAUUAUUUAUUAAACUAAUAUAUACAAUUUUACUAGUAUGCACAAUGUUUUACUUUUAGGUUUGUUGUCAUUAUUGAUUAUACACAAAAAAAAUAUAUUAAAAUUUAAAUAUAAAUAUAAUUUUAAAUAGAUUAAUUUUUGUCAAAUAUAAACUAUGUCUAAGAAAAUUAAUUUAACUAUAUAAAUUAUAAAAUAAAGAAUACCCAUAAAGAGGAAUAAAUACAUCAAAUAUAAGCUCUUAAUUGAUCAGCUUAAGUUUCGCUGCUUUUGCUUCGAUAAAUAUAGAACAUAAUAAUGACACCUGAAUUUUUUCUAACACAUAAAAUGUCAAUGCUAUUCAGCAAAAAGAAAAGGUCAAUGCUAUAACGAAUUGAGGUUCAAUUCCUAUUAAUAUAUUAUUGGGUUAGGAUUAACAUAGCACUUUUUGAAACAGAAUGAUCAAAAGAUCCGUGUGAGCACUUUUGAUCACAAUGAGCACACUUAAUUAUAUCCCAAGCUUGCAAGUACAUGAUUAAAUGGAUACACAACCAUGUAUGUUUUAAGAAACCAAUAAUAAUAUCGUAAAAAAACAAGAAGCAAAAAUAAUGAUUGAACAACUAACAAGAUUUUUAUGAAAAUUAUAGCAUAUUUUUAUCAAAUGAGAAUUUAUUUUACGGUGAGAAAUGAGAAAUAAUUAUAAAUGUAGGUUAUGAGAUCAUAUUUAAAUGCUUGAAAAGUGUUUUAAAUAUUUAUUUAUUUAUUUUUAUUUUAACCUUUUUAUUCACCAGAAACAUUAAAGAGAUUCUGACUAAUUCAAAAUUCUAUUGAGAGAUAAAUAAAAUCUGAUCAAUAAUUAUUUCUAUCAAGAUGAAACUAAAUAAUUUAAUCAAUUAAUUUAUAAAGAUUUAUAUUAUAAAUUAAAUAAGAAUGUGAAACUUUUAUGUCAAACAAACUUGAGUGUGAGAUCAAAUUUGCUAGCUUAACUUUAAAAAUAGAUAGAUUUACCCAUAGGAGUUGAAUUUAGUGAAAGAGUUAGUCUCUCACGAUAUGAAUCAAUAUUUGAAUUGCUAUUAGGAGAUGUGCACUCACAUUUAGUGUGCCAUGCUUCGAAUAAAAACAUAUUAGCCUAAUAAUUUAAUAAAUAUCUACUCAUACAAAUGAGUGGUGUAAGAUAAUUUUAUAAAUAAAAUUAUAUGUGCAUNNNNNNNNNNNNNNNNNNNNNNNNNNNNNNNNNNNNNNNNNNNNNNNNNNNNNNNNNNNNNNNNNNNNNNNNNNNNNNNNNNNNNNNNNNNNNNNNNNNNUAUAUAUAUAUAUAUAUAUAUAUAUAUAUAUAUAUAUAUAUAUAUAUAUAUAUAUAUUCGUAGACAACUUGUAAUCUUUUGAUUUAGCUUUUACUAGUGGCAUUUAUAAAUUGGUAGACGCAGAUGGAGUGUGGCCUCCAAAUUUCUUGUUGGAUAUUUCUUGGCAAUUUCUAACAGGAACCUGAAUAAAUGAUUGAGGUUGUGUGGGUCUCGUGCUGAGAAACAACAAUGUUUUCCUUUUGCCACACAAUUUCUUGCUUUGCUAACUCAUCAAUUACUCAAUGAAAAAUAUUUUCUAUUUAAUAAUGAAGUCCAUCAAAUUUCUCCAUCUUUGACUCCAUAUAUAUUGUUAUAUAUCUUCAGCACUCAUGACCCUACCAAAUAUUAAAUACUCAUGAAGAUCAAUUCCCAUCAGACGUCGAAAGUACAUAAGAUCAUUGUCUAAUUGUUGGUGGAAGCCAGCCUCACCUAUUGCCAUCUUUGGACCAUUUUUGUAACAUCUUCACCACAAUUCAAAUUGGCCAUCACACCCCUUGCAUCUGAAUUCACAGACCAAAUCAAGGACCUUUCUAUAUCAAUCCCAUUCUUUCCCUUCAAAAUAGGGCACACAAUGGGUCAUGGAUGUUGUGCAUAUCAUACUAAUGUCUUGAGGCUAAUGAACAUAGAGGAAACCAAAUAUUGGAUGACACGUGACCUUGACUAGUGUAAUAGGGGCAAAUCCUUGAUUUGCAUAGACCUAAUGGCAUGGUGGUGGGGUUUGUUGGAUCUUAAUAUAAGUUUGAUAUAUCAUUCUCAAUUUGCUUAGACAUUGGUUUUUGCUUUUCAUAUCUACAUUUACUAGAUACACCCAACAAGUGUCGUCACCUUAUCAAAAUUAAUCAGGUGAAUACAAUUGCUUUGUUAUGAUGAAGGUGACAAUAAAUAUGAAUUGGCCUAUUAUCGAUCACAUCCACGCGCACAAUAAUUAACUUAACUAAAUUUGUCAGUUGGGAGGGUUUCUUAGAUGGGAAACCAAAUAUAUGAUCGACCCCAAUAUUUUCUCGUAUGUUUCUAACAAUUCUACAUGGAAUGAGUUUCAUAGCUCUCAUGGUAAUGCCCCAUUGACCCCUAAUUGAGCUUUAUACAUAAGUGGGAUGGGUGAAGGGGGGUGUUUUCAUCAUCUCAAGAACUUUUUGUAACGACAUGGUUAAACACAUCCUCCCACCCAUGUCCUAUUUGGAUAUGGAAAGAUCGAGAAUGCUACUUGCAAAAAUGUCUAAAAAAAUGUCAAUGAUAAAUAGUGUAAUAUAAAAAAAUAUUCAAAAGUUAAUACCAAAAAAAUAAUAAAACUCCAUCUUAUGUAAAAAUGGUAAAUAAUUAUUUUAAGCAUAAAAAAUAAAAUAUAAUAAACUAGAUAUAGAAGUAAGCGUCUCAACAAAAUGUUAUAAGCUAAUAAAAAAGAUUUUUUUAUCAAGCACUACUAAUACUUUUAAACAAGCUUUUCCACGAAUAAAAAACUUAAUUAGUGUUUUAUUUCCUGAAUUUGAUAUGUAUAUUUUUAGUCCAUUAAAUUUAAAAAUAAUUUUUUUAGUUCCUUAAUUUUGAUAAAUUACUUUUUAAUCCAUCACGUAAUAAAUUAGUAUUUUGUGAUGGUUUUAACCAUCAUAAAUUGAUUUUUAUUUUUUAGCGGCUAAAAUUUGCAUUUUAAAAAUAUCACAAAUGUUAAUUUAUUACAUGAGAAAUAUGAGAAAUAUUUUUUAAGAUUAUUUUUAUUUUUAAAUAAAAAAUAAUAUUAAAUAAAAUUAUAUUCAAAUAUUGAGACACUAAAUGUGCAAUUAACAAAUACAACAGCAGUAGUAUAUAUAAAAUAAUUUUUAUUUAUCAUAUAAAUAAGUCAAAUGACUUAGUUGCUUUGGUAGGAAUGGAAUAGUAAAGGAGCAAGAGUUCUAUUUCCACCUAUAAUAUUUUUAUCAUUUUAAUAGUUUAUUUUAUUUUACACAUUUUGUCCUUUUACUUUCAAUAUUUUUGCAUAUUUUAUUUCUAAUUACAUGUCUCUACUACAAUGUCAUGUGAACGGUCCAUAUGAGUGUCAUGUAUAUUAUCACGUUUAUAGUCAUAAAUGUCAUGUUAUCAUUCAACAUUCACAAAAUACAUUCAACUAACUAAGGUAAAUUUUAAAAAUAAAUAACGUGGAAAAAAAAUCGUNNNNNNNNNNNNNNNNNNNNNNNNNNNNNNNNNNNNNNNNNNNNNNNNNNNNNNNNNNNNNNNNNNNNNNNNNNNNNNNNNNNNNNNNNNNNNNNNNNNNAAUCAUAUUGCAAGCGAGAAAAAUGUGCAAUUAAGCUUAUUUUAAAUAUAUAUACAAUGUUAUUAUUAUUAUCAAACGAAUUUCAAAUAAUAUAUUAAUUGAAAAUAAAUUAUUUCAACUUAAUCUAUGAUUUUUAAUUUAAAUCUGUGUUAAGUACUUAAAAUAAAAAUUUGGUUGCUCAUAACAAUUAUAUCUUAUUUAAGUAGAAUUUUUUUUUCGGAAGAUACUAGAAUAAAAAAAAUUUGCAAAUAUGAUCUUACCCGGUGAUCAGCUGUAAAUGUUUUUUUUUUCUUAAAUAUCUUAGCAAAAACAAUCCUUGUGAUACUGCUAGACAUUAAUUAUUAAUUAUGAACGUGUUUGUCAAUAAAUUUUUGAACCAUUAAUUGUAAUUUGAAUAAAUGAUUGUACACUCAUCUUUCUUUUUAACGUUGUCUACCAUGUUGACAACAUGCAUCUAUUUUCAUUUAUCGCACCUAUUUAAAACUGGACUGCAACCGAAGAAAUAGGAAUCAAAGUCAUCCGUGGCACAUUGGGGCUUAAUCCUUCUUCUAUUUCUUUUUUAAAGUCACUCGUGGCACAUUUAAUAAUUAAUGAAAACGAUAUUCCAGUUCAUCAAGUCUGUGGAUUUCAGUAACUAAAUCAUAUUUGGCAAUUUGUUCACAUUCAAAUUCCCUCUACUAUCUUAAGCUAUUAAAAUUAACCGUUGAAAUUCAUAAUAAUUGAAAUUUAAUUCAAUUAAAGUGUGUUGUACUUUAGAGGAACAAGUAGAAAAAAACAUCUAUUGUAGUAUGAGAAAAAUGGUUAUAUAUUCACAUUGUAAAAAAAUUUGCAUAAUCAUUCAAUCACAACUUACCAAUAAAUUUAUUAGCUUUUAAGAUAAUCAUCUUAUGAUUAUUUAAACAGUGAUUUGUGAUUAGAUAGUGAUAUAAAACUAUUUUGCAUCAUUAGUGUAUAGGCAUUAAUCUCUUGUAGUAUUUUUCAUAAAAUUAAUAACACUAUGUUAUAUAUAUGCAUGCGCCUAAUAAAUUAUGAAUUUGUUAAAAUUUAUAUAUUUUCUCGAUUAGUUCUACACAUAAAUUAAGUAGUUAAUUGGGCUCAAUUAUGAUAAGUGUGGUGGUGAUGGUAUGGUGAGGCAAAGAAUGUGUUUAAGGUAACUAUAAGCAAUUUAGCAAUGGGAAUCGGUCUUGUUAGCUUUCUUGAAAGAAAAAUGUUUCAUAAACACUCAUUAUGUUAUUUAACACCUAGAGAAAGAAAAAAAAAGAAAAAUAUAGAUAUGAUAAUAUUUAUGAUAUGAUAGGAAGAAAAAGAGACAACAAUAAAAUAUGUCCAAAGUAAUAAAGCAUUUAUGCAUUAUUACUUGAAAAAAAAUGCUUCUAACAAUGACAUUUAAGACUAAACAUAGUGAAUCUUAAUUAGGUCGCAUAUCAGCAGCUAAUUUGAGUAAGAUAUGCAAUAAUUUCUAGAUGAUUUUUUUUAGAAAAUAGUUUUUAGAUGAUAAUAGCUUCAUUUUUAUUUUUAUGAUAUUAAUCUUAACUUUAUUAAUUUUAAAAUUAACUUUCAAGAUUUUAAAAAGGAAAAAAAAAAACAGGUUCAACAUAUUCUUAACCAUUGCUCGGCUUGAUGUGACAUUCUCAAUGUAUGUAGCAAACAUCCCAUGAGUAUGAUCAACAUGCUAGUUAACUAUAGCUCAUGGUUUGCUCUUUACCAAAGACCAAACAUUGCAUCUCAUUAUUAUGUGAAGAGAAAUGGAUCAAUGACCAAAAUGAUGUAAAAUUUACAACUUCUAUGGCUAUUCCAUAUCCACGACUUAAUUACCUAUAAAGCAAGAAAAAGAGCCCCUCAUUAAUUUGGUAGUCUCAAUUUGGUUUUAAUAGGUUUGGACUUCAAAAUCACACUCGAUGUAUUAUGAUGGUGAAUUUGAGUUAUACUUUAUGUUAUCUCAACUUGAUAUAGUAUAUAUAUAUAUAUAUAUAAUAAAGUUAUGGCUUCAGUGGAUGUAUGAUGUUUUUUUUAACCUAAAUCCAAACGAUGUCGAAAUAAUUUUUUUUAUAAAAAUGUGUAAUCUCACUCGGCAACGAGUACACGUGACAUCACAUGUUGCAUGUCAAUGUGUUCAGCAAACAGUUAAUGAAUCUUGGUUAACGACACGAAACUCAGAUAAAACUUUUCAAAUAUUAAGGACUCAAUUCAAAGAAAAAAUUUAUUCAAAAACAAAUAUAAAAAUUAAGUAUAUAUAACAGACAAAAACAUAUUUAAGCCUUAUAUAUUAAUAAUAAUUUUUUUUAUGUAAUUGAUAAUAUUUUUGUAGAUGAUAUUAUAUAUUUUGAAAUAUGCUAUAAAUAAUUUAAGUUUCAUAUUUAUUUUAUGAUUUAACUACACAAUAUUAAAAUUAAUAUAUUACAUUAACAAAUCUUUUUCUUAUAUCACAUUUCUUGAUUUGGAUUAGAUAAGUUCAAGUUUAAAUAACUGAAUUUGAGGUGAAGUAAAGACAAAAUUUAAUUUAUCUCAAUCCGUCUCACGUACACUCACCACCUCUAGCUAUGUUUCGGAACUCCACAUGUGAACCAAAGGAGAAAGGACUUUCAAUUCCCAUCAUAAAUUUUGACAAUAUUGGUGUGACAUAUACCUGCGUGUAUAUCCAUUAUAUGUAUCUUUUCGAUUAUCAUACAUAAAAACCUUGCUAUUUAUUAAGAAUCUGUACAUGACAUUUGCACAAAAGGAGUCUCUCUUCACAUUUAUUUUGUCACCAACUUGCAGAUAUAUGCUGACUAUAUAUAUAUAUAUAUAUAUAUAUAUAUAUAUAUAUACUCUCAUUCUUCAUCAGCCUUUUAUAAUGAUAUUCUUGUAUAGGUUGUUAUGCUUGAAUAGUUGUUGCUACAGUUCUAACAGUAUCAUUUAUUGUUUGGCUAAAAUUUCCGCUCUCGAAAUUAAUUUUGGGGCGAGUAAAGUUGCUUUAAAGAAAAGUAAUGUUUUUAAAAUUUUCUACUACUAAGAAGAGUUAAUAUUAAGUGAGAGACUUAUAAAAUAUGUUAUAUUAGUUGUUUCGAAAAAAAUGUGAUUAAAAUAAUAUGUAAAUACAAAAAUAAAUAAAAUUAUUCGCGUUACCAUGAAAAUGAUUUUCAAUCCUCCACCACCACAGUAGUUCUUGAUCUAUUCACCCUUGGGAUACAAUAAUCCAACUAUUUAAUCUCUAUUUUCUAUAUAAAAUAGAGACAAAAUUUUCCACUCCACACCGUUUACUAACAACUAUAUUAUGUUUUAUAAUGCACGAGAAGAAGCUCAUCUUCACAUAUUGUACCACUUUUAUAGCUGUGAAAAAAAGCUAAAUUAUAUCUUUCUAUUUUCUCAAAUUCGUAAAUUUAAUCUUCUUUUUUUUAAUUGACAUUUCAUCUCCUAUUUUUUAAAAUUUGUAAAAAUUUUAGUUCCCAUUUUUUAAUUAAAACAUAUUAUCCACCACUUUUUUAAAAAAAUUUAUGUUAACUUACAUAUUUAUUAGUCACAUAACAAAUGAUUUUUUAAUUAUUUAAUUGAUAAUAUGCUUAAUUUAAAAAAAAAUAAAAAAUUACUAAAAUUGGUCAAGGGGACUAAAAAUGUAAUUUUUUUAACAUGAAAAACAAAAUGUCUCAAUUAAAAUUAAAUGAGAGGACUAAAAUAACAAAUUUGAUAAAAAUGAAAAAUAAAAUGUCUCAAUUAAAAAAUAAAAAAUCACGGAUUAAAAAAUAAAGAGAUUAAAAUUAUCUUUUCGCAAAAAAAAUGCUAAUCAUAAUAAUUAAAUCAUAAAAUUUAUAAGUUAUAAUCUGUAAAAGCAAGAAUUUAUAAGUUGUUUUUAAUUAUUCGAUGUUGGUUAUGAAUUAUUUUAAAAUAUUGAUGGUCAUCACGUAAACCUUGCUAAAAAUUUCUAUUCAACAUUGAUUAACUCAACAAUGUAAAAAUGUAAACUUUUAUAUAUUAAAACAAUGAAGUGAGAACAUAUGACUUUAUACAAACUAUUUAAUCCCAUCACUAUAAGCCGAUCCUAGUUAGUGACCUAAAUUUAAAUAGGUUGUACAUUAAUUAUUAUUGUAAAUAAUUUGUGUUAGAACUCAUAGUUCAAAGUAGGGAAUUGAGAAAAAAAUACAAUUAAAAAAUAGAAUGUGUAUAUUAAAAAUGAGAGAGGUAAGUACAAAAUGAUUAUUCAAGCCAUUAUCCCACUUCAAAUUGAAAGGUAUUUUCAACACUUCUAGCUUGGGAUGGGAUGAACAAUAUAAGGACAUAUAAUAAAAAAAGAAAUACAAUUAAGAAUACACGAAAUGCAUCAACUUAAAGGUAUGGCAGUGUAUAAAACAAAUAAAAGAUCAAUUAAUACACAAAUGCUUAACUAUUGAGCAAAAAUUAAACACAACUUAAUAAGACUUAACUACUUAAUAAAAACAAAUAUCCUUAACCACCUAAAUGAUAAAAGAAACUUAAGAUUAACCAUCAAGAACAAGAGUUAAAUUAUGGUGCUUAUCGACUCUAGACAAAAACAAAAAAGAUCACAAUGCUUAGUCCUUCUUGGCUGAAGCUCACAAUAUAUAAUUCUUAACCACCAUUGACAAAAGUUAACAAUUGAGAUUGAACAACAUAUAUAAACACAAAAAAAAAAUCCCACAAUCUGUAUGCUCAUAAAUUCUAAAUAAUGAAGGCUCAAAACUAUCGAGACUUUUGAAGAAUACUCGAAAUCCUAAAUCUAUGAUGACUUGAAAUGUAAUAUUACCAAGAUACACAAUCGAGUAAAUAUCAAUCACCAUGAAAAGAUUGAAGAGUGAAAACCAACAUCAUUUGAAAAUCAAAACCAUCACAUGCUAAGAAUUUGAAGUGGUUCUCAAACCACGACUAAAUAAAACAUCAAUAUCACCACAUUCAAGGUUGAGAACACCAUUACUUGAGAAGAGGAGAACGACACCAUAACCUUAUUAUCUCUAUCACAAGCUUUGACAAGAAAGUCACACUCAUCCUCAUUGGAAAGAAAAAUGUUUCAUGAAUACCCAUUAUGUUAUAAGACACCUAAAGAGAGAAAAUAUAAAAAUUAUAAAAUUUACGAUAUUAUUAGAAAAAAUAGAUAGAGGAAAAUGAGAUAUUAGUAAGAUAUUUAAAAUAAGUGAAUGUUUAUACAUUAUUGCUCCAUUGAAAAAUGAUAUUUCAAAAUUAAAGAGACAAAAAAUAGAUUUUUUUAAAAUUGACAAAAAAAAUGAACAAAAUAUUUAGAAAUAAAAGGAACUUUAGAAAUUAUCUUACUUUAUAUUAUCAUUUAAUAACAAAUCACAUUGGAUACGAUUUUUAAGAUAAUUACAAAUCUAACAAACAUGUUAUAGAAUAAUUUGUUAUCAAAUUAUAAUAUAAAUUUUAUAUUUUAGAUUCAUAAUUAUUUUUUUUUUCAAAAUAAUGUGUCGCCCUUCUUGUUUUUUACAUAGACGUGAAACAUAAAUUUAGUAAGUUAAAACAUUAACUCCAAAAUGUACAUCUUGAGCCACAUGCACCUCCUCACAUCAGAAACCAGAUUUUCACAGUUCUUCAAACUCGAUCAACGGCUACAAAAUCGAAUUUAUGGAGCGAUCAAAGGAAAAAGCAAGAGUAAUAAUGGAAGAAACGAGUCAAGUUGGUUGCCACAUCAGCACAUGCCAAACUGUCAUAUUUGCUUUUGCCAACGACAACGUACACUCACGCGCGUGACGCCACUCACUCACUCACAACAACCCUUUAUAAAGUCCCCUCCCUCCCUCUCUCAUUCUAACUCCGAUUCUCAAACACUACUACCUCUUCCUUAAUUUUCUUCAAUCACACCAAAUUUAACUACCUUAAGCUUUUCACAAUUUCCAUAGUUUCCUUGUUUCCAAUUAUUGCAUGCCAAUCAUGUACAAUUUAGAGAAGCCACAGAGAGAUGAUAAACAGUUUCUAACUCCCUCUUUCUCUUCCACUCUCCUCGACCAAAUUUAUCGUUCCAUCGACGAGGGUGAAAGAAAAAACGGCGAAACAAAGUUCUACAGACACACUACUAUGAGCAGUAGCAAGAGACACAACAGAAGCGAUUCGAAAUCCAUGGACGCUGGAGACAGAAAAAUUGUCGGCGGCGCGAAAAACAACAACAGAAAACAUCUGCACCGCGACGAGGAUGUCAUGUUCUUCAGCUCCACUUCGAUUUCCUCCACAGAUUCCUCCAGCCUUGGAUUCUCCUCCUCCGACACCGAAUCCAUCUCACGCGCCUCGUGUUUCGCGCCACAGGUGGGGCGCGGAGGAGGAGGAAGCGCUUCAUUCCGUUCCGAGAAACAGGGAAUGCGCAUCUUCGACAGUUUCUGUCGAACCUCCUCCCAUAGAUCGUCGGAACACGCGCAUUCCCAAUUCUGCAUCACAAGCCGUCGUCAUCUGUCCGUGUCAGAAGAUCAUAAACAAAUCAGACACGGACACAGACAGGUGACGGCUUGUGACGAAGAAGAAGAGGCCUUAAUGAUCAAAUCCAAGUCGAGGGCCUUAAAGAUUUACAACAACCUUAAAAAAGUGAAACAACCUAUUUCCCCUGGCGGCAGGGUCACGAGUUUCCUCAACUCGCUCUUCGCCAACACGAAGAAAACCACCACCACUACUACUUCUACAAGUUCCCGCACGUGCGGCGAAGUGAAUACUCCUUCUUCUUCUUCUUCAUGUUAUUAUUCUUCCACGUGUUCCUCUGCUUCUUCGUUUUCACGUUCUUGCUUGAGCAAGACCAUGUCUUCCGAAAGGGACAGGUUGCGCAAUGGGGUGAAGAGAACGGUGCGUUUCUACCCAGUGAGUGUGAUCGUGGGUGAAGAUAGCAGACCCUGUGGGCACAAACGCUUGUGCGAAGAGAAAGAAGCUUCUAGAGAGUUCUUAAGAGAGUACAAUAACCGACACAACCCCAAGAUUAAGAGCAAUGAUAAAUUGGUCUUGAAGGACUUGUCUUUAAGGACUACUAACGUUGAUGUUGAUGAUAACGAUGACGACGAUGAUGCAUCGAGUUAUGCGAGCUCGGAUCUCUUCGAGCUUGAUCAUUUGGCUGUGUUUGGAAGUGAUAGGUAUAGUGAGGAGCUUCCGGUGUAUGAAACUACUCAUGUUAGUACUAACCGCGCCAUUGCCAAUGGCCUCAUAGUAUAAUAAUUCUGUUCAAUAUACGUACAGAACCAUUUUUGAGUUUUUUCCCCCACUUUUUUUAAGUGGUUUUGUUAAUUAUGUAUGAUUAUCAAUAUUGGGUAAAUUAAUAAAAUGAUUUUGAUCAAAUAUUUUUUGUUGUUGUCUAAGAUAUCCUUCGCUCGAGAGUUGGAUACUAAUAAUAUUUUAAGAAUUGAUUUCUCUUAACAAAUAUCCUUACAAUUGAAAAUCAAUCCACAAAUUAUAUGCUUAAACUAUAUGUUUAAGUGAGAAAUUAUUUACUAACCCUAUAAUAUCAUGGUCGGAUCAUAUAAACAUAAUAAUACCUAUUUGAUUUUAGCUUGACAUGAUUGUAGGUAUCCGUUGGGAAAGCUUAAUUAAUGUUCACACAAUUAAUAGGCUUUGCAAUUGCUAAUAGACUUUUUGGGGUUAGGAGUACAGUUUUACAAAACCAAAUUGAUGUAAAGUGUGUAAUUUUAGCUGUUUCACUUUUUAAUUUUGCUAAAUUUUGUGGCGUGAGAACAAAGCCGAUCUAAGAUGAAGCCAGAAGCACAUAGAUUCUCUGUUUUAUGUAAAAAUAUAACUUUUUUUUUCCUUGUACGUAUGUGGGUACAUGUGUAUUGUGUAUGUAUGUACGUAACUGCCAUAGAAUGUGGCAGUGUUUUGUUGAACGAUCUAAGAAAACGAUAGAAAGAACUGUUUUUAUGAAAGCGAGUAGUAGAGAGUAGGGUGCUUGGUUUUCUGAAAAAAAGAAAAGAGGUGGGGAUUCGUAAAUUCUUGAUCACGAUCUAGCUCUUAGUAGUUUGAUGGAGGAUGAGGAAAAAAGAAAGGGGAAAAAAGAAGAGAGGGAAAAUGAGAGAUUCGAGAUGGUAAUCACAAGCAAGGUGUGAGAGAGGGGUGUGAAUGUGAUGGUAAAGGGAAAGGCAGAUCUUCGCCCAUGGGAAUAGAGAAAGUGAUCGAAGACUAAAGCUUUUGCUUUCUCUCCUCUUUCUUUAUUUCUUAUCCUUCUUCUCUAGAACUCCAAUUUUUUAGCUUUGUAGUUUGUAUUGUAUUAAUUAAUUAACCACCGUAGCUUGCAGAUUGAGCUACACUGUUAAAGGCUUCCCUUUUUAGAGCAGAAAAUUAAAAGAAUAAUAUUAACAUUUAAUGCUAAUCUACACUUUCAGUCAAAGAUAUAGUAGAAGAUACAAAGAGAUAAGAUAUAUGACGUGAUAAAAUAGAUAAAUAACAUGCGUAACACUUAUGCAUGAUUAGUAUAAGACAUUUUACAUCCAUAAAUGGAAAUUAUUAACUCAUGAAUUGACGCAUUGAUUUAAAGUUUUGUUAUAUUUAUAUGUAAAUAAAUAAGUGUUUAAUUUUUUUUUGACAAGAUUCCUUUGAGUAAGCAGUAAUUAUUUAUUGUGAGAAAGAUUAAAUUUCGAAUUCAGUGAAUUGAAAAAUUGAUGAUCUUUAACUUAGGAUAAGUUUUUUCUUUAUAAAAAACUACUAUUGAUAUAAUUUCUUAAAAUAAUUAUUAUGAAAGUGAAUAAAUGUGUACAUAAUUAUUUGUAUUUUUUAUAUUUUAAUGAUUUAUAUAUGAAUGAUGACCUAAAUAUGUGUUAUAUGAUCAUUGUAUAGUUUAUUUUAUCUGAAUAAAAAAAGUCCGAGAUGAGUAGUUAUGAUGUUGGGGUCCAUGGUUGAAAUUAAAACUUAUGCAUGUACUAAUGUGAUCUUGGGUUGAAGUUUAUACUAUACGGUGUUAAUGUAACGUUGAAAAUAAGCUUAUGAUGAGUGGAAGGAACGGAAGAUGAAGAGUGAAGUAGGCAAGAUUGCAGUUAGUAUGUGGUCUGUUUAGGGCACUAGUAGGUACUUGCUACAAAUUCGGCAGAAAAUUUGAAGGCACUGUGUGCAGUAAAGUAGGCAAUUAUUAUGGUGGGUAUUAAGAGGAUGAUUAAUCACCGCCGAACAAGACAAGACUGUGUGGUCACAACUUUGUUUACGCCAGAAAUUUCAGUGUUCAGUACUGCUACAAUCAUGCGUCCUUGAGAUAAGUUGAGGACUAGAUAUUUUAUUUGAGAAUGUAAGAUUCUUAUAACAAAAAAUAAAAAGAUUAUUUUUAUAUUUUCUUAUUUUUUUUAUAUUCUUUAUAAACAAGUAAAAUACACUAAAAACAAAUAUUAUCAAAUAUAUUUAUGUUCAUGUUUAUGUUUAAAAACUUUUUUCAAAGAUAAAUAAGUACCAGCAUAUGCUAGAUUCGUACUUGUGUAGUCUAUGAUUUGAGAAGUGAAGAAAAUAAAAAUUAAAUUACAUUUACUAACCUUUACAAGAUGAGUGACUCAUACAGUCAUAGUCAUGACAUGUGCUUGCUGUUCUUUAAGCAAAUUCAUUGAAUCUAAUAACUUUUUAUACUUCUAAUCCUAUUAAAUGAAAAUUAAGAGUAUGAAUUAUUUGAAAGAAAGUAAUUUUUAUUUUAUUUUCUCCUAAAUUUAAAUAAUUUUUUAAGCUUUUAAUUAAUAAAUUAAAAUAUUAUGGUUACAUAAUUGAAGCAUUUAAAAUCAUUUUCUAACUCAACCCGUAUACAUUAACAGUUUUUUUUUUUUGUAUUUAAUUAUGUACUUUCAAAAGCAUUUUAUUUUGAAUUUCUAACUUGCAUGCAAGUUCUUAAUUAUAUGAAUAACUAUUCAAUGAUUUUAGUUAAAUUAAUUUUAAAAUAAGGUUAAAAGUAACAGUUUUCAAGUUCACGCAGUAUGCAUUUUACAUAUUAAACCAGCUUUUUUCCUAAGUAGUACAUUCCUAAAUGCACGAAUAACAUUGUUUUUUGUAAAAAAAUUACGAGUAAGGAAGUUCUGAUGUAAAUAUUGAAUCAUACAAUAAAUUUUAAUGAUGACUUAUAUUGUAUCUAAAUAUAACCUACCCAGGACCCAUAACUCAUGAAAAAGAACUCUUAACAGAAAUUAAAUCCAAUUUUUUUUAAGACAACACACUAGUUGAGCAAAGAAAAUUUCAUUGACAAUACUUUUACAUCACUGCUAUUUAGUUUGACUAUUGUGUAAUUUAUUUGCUUGCAUACAUAUAUAUAUAUAUAUAUAUAUAUAUAUAUAUAUAUAUAUAUAUAUAUAUAUAUAUAUAUAUAUAUAUAUACGGGGAAUACUAGCUGACACACACUCUUUUUUGGAUAUUCUUGUGAUUAAUUAAAAUUUAUUGAAAAUCAUUAGUUUUGAUAAAUUUUACUUCUUAUUUAAUAUAAGUAAUAUAAGUAAGGAAAGAAAAUAUUAAUUGAGAAAUAAAAUCCUCAAAAUUAGUUAUUUUUAAUAAAUUUUAAUAAAAAAAAUCCAAAAGAGAAUGUAAAAAAAGUGUUGGUAGUACUCUCGUGUUGGUACUCAUUCAUUUGGCAUUAAUAGUAAAAUCCAUAUUUUUAUAACUUUAGGCGUGGUCGUCCCCACUACCCAAUUUAGUUGCCUUCCCCAAGAUAUUAAGAUAUAUUCAUGCACAAAAAUUUGGACUUAAAUUUCAUAUCCCCUACAAAGAAAAAAAAGAACUUAAUUAACUUAUCCAAGUCAAAAUCAUCAUAUUAAUCAAAAUUGUGUAUCUUAGGUAAAAUGAACCAUGAAGCAUAGAAAAUCUGUAGUUAGCAGCGUGCGACCACCAGAAUGAUCCUGUUGGUUGGUUUCAUUGCUAGUAGACAUAAUGACCUAUCCUCACAUGAAGAAUGCAAUAUAUAUUUAAAGCUCAUUACGUGUGAUGGGCAUGCAUAAGCAUGAGGUUGUCAUCGAAAAUGGAGGAAUGGUGGGAGACCCACACUUAAUUGAAAAUAAUCGCUUUAUUAGUCAUAGUCGUCUAAACAUGACUGUAUCACAAACUAAUACAAUUGCUAUUUGUUUACUAAUUAGCAGAUAUGGUGCAUGUAGCUUAUUCAUGAAUAUAAAGAGAAUGCAGGUAACUAGGGAUCUGCUUAUGGAAUAUAAAGUGCACUUGUUUAUGAUUUUAUCCAAAAAGCUUGCGGUAUUAGCAUUUAUAAGCUUUAAAAAUUGUGAACCACAUGUGAUUCAAAUUUGGUCAGUGUGGUGGGAUAUAUUGUUGCACCAUCUUCGUCGGUUAGAGAUUCCGUACUUCGGAUGAGGUGGUGAAGCACAGUACAAUGAUGAGAGGAAUAAUUUUGUAGUGUUUUCAUUUAUAAAAAUAGAACUAUUUUUUCUCCCCUUCUUUUAGAGAGUUUGCACAAUAAGGAGUAUUAUUAAUUAUGCGGCAAUGACGGUCUCCGGCCUUUAUCAAUUUUUAAGAAAAAUAAUUUUAGCUUUUAACAAUUGCUUAAGAAAAAGUUUUAAAAAUAUUUUUAAAACUUUUUUUUCAAAUAUAUGGAACACAUAUAUAACAAUAAAAAAUUAUGCCCCUCAUUUAAUUUACACAAUUUCUUAGACUUUUUUUAUCUUUCAACAAACCACCUCACUACAAGUGACUCUAAAUAAAAUAGGUUUCUCUUUAUACUUUUAUCAACAUUUUUAUAUUGGUUAAUAGAUUUAAAAAUAUAAAGUAGUAUGUAUAAAGAAAAAAUAAAUUAAAUUAAAGUAAACAUACAAAUCAAUGUAUAAUAAAAGGAAGCACAAUACUACUUAUAUAUCUGUUAGCAAUACUCUCUUCACACUUAUGAAGUUCUAUCUAGAUUUUAUUGUGAACUUAAUUUCUUCUAAUAAAAAUUUAUACCUUAGUUUAUCAUGCUGUUGAAAGAUUAACCCCUACUAGACUCAACCCCAUUUUUAUCUAGAUAUUAUAUAUAUAUAUGCAUAACCCUCAGGCCUCAAGUGUCCAAUACUAACAUGCAGAGUUUAGAUUGAUUUGGCAAAAAAAACUAAACUAACAUGCAGAACCAAUUGCAAAAUCAUACUAACAACUUUAAUUUGUAUACAAUCCAUGUUGAAAAUUGGUGAAAGAAAAUUAAAUCGAGAAGAACACAAAAGAAAGAGAUAAAGCAAAGAUGGCAACUACUACAUACAAGGCUCUUUUAGGGUGGUACGUAGCUGGUUGUGAGUAACCAUGUGGUCAAGGGGGUCUCUCCAAGACACUGCAACAAAAAAGAGGAAGAAAUUAAAAAGUUGAGGUGGAAGAUAAACACUGGGGUCGUUACUAAUACUAACGCUACUAUGGCUAGCUACUACAAUUCUUUGUGGUCCACACCAGAAUUCGUCCUCUCUUUAAUUUCUGCUUUAAUUUGUUAUCUUAGGGAAAGACAAAAGUGAUGAAGAUUGGCGAUCCCGAGGUGAGAGUUUCCACUAGACUGUGUUAAACAAACCCACUUUCCCUUUUAUAUAUACUUCAAAGUUCAAAGUACAAUUGUGAGAGACGGAGAAGAGGACCAUCAUUGUGAUGUUUGUGUCCAGUUCAAUAGGAGAAUCUUUUUCGCUGUCUCUCUCGUUUUCUUUCAAAGCACACACCCCAGAAUAACGUUCACACGGCAAUCUUGCUAGUUGAUGAAACGUUUAGGUUCUACAAUUGCAACAUUUUGAAUUGAAUGUGCAUAAAUAUUCACGCUGUGCACUGCUUUUUGGUCACUUUAACGCAUUGUAUAUACAUAUCAUGUGGUGACUCUUAUUCUUAUAGGUGAACUAGCUAGCUGAGUAGAUUAUGUAGUAGGAGUUAGUUGAAAAAAAAAAUAGAUCCGAUUUGAAAAGGAAGAUGUUCAGGAGUUUGAUCCAUUCAGCUGAUCGUAAAGUUGGAUUGAUAAAGAAUCGACAAGAAAACAUAUAUCCGACACUAAGUCGAAAAAAAAAAACUUGCCCGACCAGUUUUUGCAUUAGGUUUUUUUUUUUUGUGUUUUUAAUAUAUAAAAAAGUACUUGUAAUGUUAUAUGAUCCCUAAGUUCUGUUUUGUUGUGACGAGAGAAUUAGAGCUAGUAAAAAUAAAACAAAAAAAGAUAAUUAGAGAUAUUCACAUCAGAGAACACUAAGAAGAAAGAAUACGGAACUUUAAUUUAAAAUCACCAUUAACGUCUUUUUUUAAUUCUAUCUAACCAUGAAUCUAACAUGAAUCAUGUAACUCAUUUGUAUAUAUACAUAGUGUCCUCUGACAAUACCAUCACCAUCCAUGUGUGAUGAUCUUAUUGACCUCUUUUUACCAUGUCACUGUGUAAAUGGUAGGAGUGCAUGAUUGUGUAUGUUUGACAUGUCAAAUCGUGAUGUUUCUCUGAUCUUGUGAUCGUCACGUCUUUAGAGUCCUGUUCCAUAAUAUACUUUCCAUCAUUUUAUCUUUUUGAUUGUAUGUUAUUGGGACAUCGCUUCGACUACCCAAUAUUUGGGGGCUCUAUCUUGGUCAAUAUAAGGCCUUCCAAGUAUUGAGUCUCUCGACUAAGUGCCUAAAGGUAAGUAGUUCCACCUACUAAGGUUAGUACUCCCGGGAUGUCCAUUUUGAAUGGUGUACAAGAGAAAAUAUGAAUAGAGGAGAAAUAAAAUAAAAAGUUUAGUUGUUUGAUUUAAGAAUAAUAUGUAAAAAAAAAUAGAAUGAAAAUUAAAUAGUAAAAUUGUUUGGUUUGAAUAAAAUGAGAAUAGAAAACUUCUUAAAUUUAUAAAAAUACUACUAUUAUACCCUCUAAUUAAAUGAGAUGAAUGUUACAAAAAAAUUAAGAAUUUGUGGGUCAGCAUUGGACACAAAAGUAAAUAUACAUCCUCCUCGUACUUUUGUGACCUUAGUACCUUCACAUCUAAGACAAAAAUUUAAUGAGUGAAACCCACUGAACCCCAACUUAAUUCCAGCAUAAAUUACCUCUCCAAAACCUGCGUACCCAUUUUUGUCUGUGCCUCACUUCUAAAUCGUUGCUACCAAACACAACGCUAGAGAAAGAUAGAGAAAGGAGAGAGGAAAAAAAGUAGAUAUAAUAGAUGCUGUAGUUUGAUGUAUUAGGAAGAAACUACAAACUUCUUUUGAGAUAUUUGUUGAAAGAUCAUUCUGACUGUUAAUUUUUAUUUUUAUUUUUAUAGUUGAGUAGUAGUUUCUUGAGCGUUCGGUGAUUUAUUUCUCUUACUUCUUGUAACUACAAUUUCAUUUGGUUAUUAAUUUCCUAUUUCUAUUAAUGCUUUUUUUUUUUUGGGGGGGGGGGGGGGUAAAACCUGAUCCUUAACACCUAGAUAAUCUACUAAAUUACCUUACCCAUAAAAAAAAAGAAAGAAAGAGAUAUACUAUAUUCUGGUUAUACUGUUAACCUAAUGGGUGUUUGGUACGAGCUAUGAAAAUCUUUGAUGUCUGAAGAUGAAGCUUCAUGAUAUAAGUUAAUACUUUCCUUUCAUAUACCCAAUAAAUUAAGCUGGUAGACGCAGUCAAGUGGGCCCCAUCUUAAAUAUAAAUGAUAUGUGUAUAAAUGCACUAAAAUAUAUUUUUGUUAUAUAUAAGGAUUCCAUUUUCUUAGUUGAACCCACCCUCUUUAACUUCUAAUCUCAUUAUAUGUAACUCUUACUGUUACGGACCCAAACAGCUUAUGUCAUCUGAAGCAACAAUGAGAACCAGCAAGCUGGGCCUAAUGAGAACAAGGAGCCCAAACAAUAGAGGCCUCAGUGUGGCUUAAAGCCUAUGUGAAGUUUUAAUCUGCCAAGUACCAAUAACAAUAUGCAUUAGAUAUUAGUUCUUACAAUUCCCUUUCUAUUAGUCUCAGAUCCACGUGGCCACUAGUUUGUUAGAAGUGGAUAUUUCCAUCUAUAUGUAAGAAACUUAUCAAAGGCAAAAAAUCAUUACCUGAAAUUUUAGCUUCUCUUAGUUUUUCCUUCUUUCUCUUGGAGCUACUCGUACUCCAAAGGAGACUCAUACUACACAGUAUCACUUACCCUUGUUGUAUUCUAUCUAGUGUUUUGUCUUAGUAAAAGAAUAACCAGACUAUAAAUUUCUAUAUGAACAUGUCGUUUAUCUGAGUAAAAUAGAAUUAGUCGAAUUUCGUAGAGAAAGUCUCAAAUUCGAAACUUUUAGUUGAAAAAAAUGAUUAAAAAGAAAAAUCCUACUAAAAUAGAAUAGACAAUUCUAUGAUAAAUAUUAAUCAUUAAUAAAUAUUUUAUAUCAAUGUCACCAUGAGCUUAAAAAAUAGACUAUAUAUAGAUUUUUAUUCGUUUACCAUUUUGCAAGAAAAUAAAUUAAUCAUAUGGAUAUGAUAUGCAUGAUAGCUGGAAAUUGACUACGAAGAGAAGAUUUAAUUAAGACUUAUUCCAUUAUACCUAUGCUCUGCUACGUUUUGUAGUAACCUCCGCUGCAAGUUGUCACUCAUUACAUUACCAUUUUUUUGUUGUUGACUACAUCACCUUACCAUAUUCUGCCCCAUUAACAUGGUCAAAACUAAAUUUAUUCUAGAUUGCAUCGUUUUUUAACUCUUAAUUUUCCUUGUUCAAUGUGUGUAUAGUUUGACACAUGUCCUUGCUUAUUCCGAAAUGUUUAUGCUGGUUUUCUAUUAUCUAGAGUUUCAAAGACAGAAAGAAGCCAAUGUUUCACGAAAACAGAAAACAAUGCAUGUGAAAGCAACCCAACAAGGCAAAACUAAUUGGCUUACUAAUAAAUCGAAUGUUCUUAACGAAAUGUUGCCAGCUAUAUAUGUGGCAUUCACUAAACAACAAGAAGGGUGCAAAGACUAUAUAUUAAAAUGACCUUGAUGACUCCAUUUGGGUUAGACAAAGUUGAAUUCAAUUAAUAAAGAUGAGUUUCAAGAACAGUCCUAAAAUUCAGCACAUAGGAGCCUCUCCAAACGUGUCUCGCCAAUCAUCCACUUCUAGUUUUAGGGACAAACAACAGAAGAAUGUGGAGCCACCAAGCCCUUUACCUGUUGGAUGCUGCAGAGGCUUCAGCAUUGCCAAGACUAUUGGGUCCCCUGCCUCCACAUCACAACAAAAUAUGCAACAGUUACAAUACCAAAGACUUGAAGUAAAGGUAUGUUUCAUGCAUUUCAAGUAGUGCACAACUGCACAUACAUGUAUUAGUGCCAGAUUGGUUUCAUGUUGAGAAAUUGAUUCUUGAGUUUAGGAUUAAUUUUGGAUACAUUUUUACAUAUUUGAUUUUACUUUGGACAAUUCAGAAUUCAUUCUGAAUUCAAAAUUGAUUAUGAGAUAUCACAACUUUAAGUAACUUUGCAUUGGAUCCAAAAUUUUAUAUUAAAUUUUAUUUUUAACUUGAUUUUAUAAUAAAAAUAUUUAAAUAUAAAUUACAUCACUUCAAAAUCAAUUUUAUCCAUGUUCAUCUAAAUACACAUUACACUUAUAACCUAAAUUUAAGUUUUGCUUCAAAUGAAUAUAUCAAUGAUUCUUCCUGAUUCCCUUAAAAAAAUAUUCUUCCGGAUUCAAGAGAUUAAUCUGAAAAGACAAAAUUAAUACAUGUGCUAGAAGUCUAAAUUUACAUGCAUUACUUAUAGGUAAUACAUAUAGUCUAAGGCGAACGCGUCCAAUACGUGCGUUCUCUUUAAACCAACCUAAGUCUGCACAUCUCUGUAAUAAAAUAAAAAAAAUGUCUGCACAUCUCUACUUGGUUGAGCAUAUAAAUUUAAGAAAGAGAAAAAAUAUGGCAGAAUGAAAACUGUUUUUAACCAAAAUUGUAAAACAACAAAAUGUAAAUGGCAUUUGGUUUGGUUGUUUUUUACUUUUAUUUUCACUGAAAAUAAAAAAUAGUGAUGAAAAUGUGUUUGACUGGAUUUCUGUUUUCAUUUUCAGUGAAAAUAUUUUUUCAAACGAACCAAAAAAUAGAAACAAUAAAAACUUGUUUUCCAUGUUUUUAGUUGAAAUCAGGAAUUUCAUAUUGGGUAAAAUGAAAACAUGAUGACAAGAAAUGUAAUUUUAAGCAAAUCUAAAAAUACAUUUUCUUUUGAAAACCAGUAUUUUUAUUUCUUGAAAAUAGAAAAUAAGAAGUUAAACCAAACAUAUUUUCAGAAUUCUAAUCUUUUAAAAAUAAAAACAAGAAAUAAAAACAGAAAAUAAAAAUGCAAACUAAACACACCCUAAAUUUUUCAUCUUUCAGUUCCAUUUCAUUGUCAAUCACCAAAGCAGACUUUAUAAGCAGAAAUCAAGAAGGACGCACAAGUUGCUGCAGUAUAUAUACUAAUUUCUUUUGAGAAAACUGAAAUUAUUAAACUGGUCGAUUAAAGAAGUCUAGCCAAACUUAAAUUUCUAUAAUGAGAAUCAUAACACUUUUAUGUAGUUUUAAUAAUGGCUUUGAAGGAAUUAAUAAUUAAGAUUGAUUAGAAAAUUUUCGUUUUUGUUAGGCAUCUCUUUGAAACUAUGUAGCAUAACUGAUGAUAUAUUCUGUUUAGAAAAACUUAUUUUUAAGAGAAUUUAUCUCUAACGCAACAUUUUUAUUGAAUUCAUUCAUAUCUCUCAUAUUCCAAUAUAUUUAAUUUUCAUUUUCAAUAUUAUAUAAAAUGCAACAUAUGCCAAGAAUCAAGAACUAUAUUUACUUUGACUUAAACAAAAAUAACUAAAUUUACUUUUGUAAUAUUGGAGUAUUAAAAUCGGCCGCGGGGUACACGGAGUGGAGAAUAGUAGGGCCGGAGAAGGUGUUGGAUGAAGCCUGCGAAGGCUAUUGGGCUGAAAGAAACUAGGCUAAUUAAUGCUUAAUUUUUGGAGUGCUAGGUGCACCCUGUACUAAUCACAAAAAGACAGAAAUACUCCUUACGGAUCAAGUUGAUCUGUAAGUUAAUUUUUAAGACUUACAGAUCAAGUUGAUCCGUAAGUCUUUUACGGAUCAAGUUGAUUCGUAAGUUAAUUUUUAAGACUUACGGAUCAAGUUGAUCUGUAAGGGGAGAAAUUAGCAGAGACAGUUUUGUCAUUUUCAAAAAAUACUGGGUGCACCUAACAAUAUUUUAAUUUUUGUGGCAUUGCAUCAUGUAAUUAUUUAAAGCACCCCAUUAUUUGAUUUGAUGCACCAAAGUGUAUUACAGAUUGAAUAAUUUGUAAUACAACAUAAUGCAUUUGAGAUGCACCAAAGUAAAUAAUGGGGUGCGUUAAAUAAUUCCCAUUGCAUUUGGAUCCAAAAAUGGACCAGGAUUUGCCUAGUGGUUUAAUACAAUAAUAACUUAAAUACUAAUGACAAUAAUAAAAAUAUCAUCAGAUAAUUCUCUUAAUGAAAAUACUAAUUAGAAUUGGAAUUCUAUCUCUGCAAUUAGUAUAAUAAAAGUUUGCAUUUAAAAAUUAUACAGUUUUCUAAGCUAAAACAUAAAUUCCGAUUGAAGAAGAACAAAAUAACACCCAAGAUAUUGUAUUUAAGUUUUGACCAUUAAAAGAAAAAAGCGUCUGAAAUAUGUGUUCACGCCUGUUCAUAGGUGGCGGAUUUGGAAAAGAAAGUGCAAAAACAAUCAGAACUACGAGUAAUGUACAAGAAAAGAAUGGAAAGGACUCAAGAUUACUUGAGGAACUGCCUUCAGAUAGCACAAGAAAAUGGAAUAUUAGAUGUCAUUGUGAACUGCAAAGGUGAAUUUCAACAAUCUCCAGUCUCUAUCCACACCAUAAGCUCCAUUACCAGCCCUCAAAUUCAAAUUCCCACUCCACCACACCAUGGCCACCACACCAAUCUUGCGUCCAUCAUAGAUCAAGCAAAAAUCAAUGGAUGGUAUAUUGAUCCAAAUGAGGUUAGUAAGUAGAAUUCCACUCACAUGCAAAUCAUUCACUUACAAGUUACAAUGCGUUGUCAACAUUUUUUUUUCAAUUAAGUAUUCAAUAUGUUUCCAUCUCCUUGCUUUGAUUCUGUUUUUUUUUUUGUUUUUUCCUUUUUUCAUAAAUCAUCAUGUUUGCUUUUUAUUUCUUAAGUUUUGAUUUUACAUAAUGUUUGCCCCUUCUGAAUGUUAGAACAAAUAUAAGCUAUUAAAUUAGUGCUGACAAAAUAUGUUAGAUCACCUGAGUUGGCUCAAACUUGGUCGAUAAAAUGUAAUACUUAGAGUUUUAAAUUUUUUGUCUCAAUUAAACAUGUUUUUUUAUAUUGCCAAAAUGCCCAAAAAAAUUCAAUUUUUACCAAGCUUGAAUUUUUGCUGUUGUUUCAUGCAUCUCUAAGUUACUUACUGCCCCUUUUUUUUAACUUCUGGAAUGUAAAAUUACAUUCCAAAAUGAUGACCAAUCCCGGUAAAAAAAAAACUCCAAAAAAGGUACAGAAGGCAAAAAGGGUACAGAAAGCAAGAACUAGACAAUUUUUUUUUUAGCCUACUAUAAUCCACAAUCAGUAUUGGGCUGACCUCCAUUGGAUUGGAAACUCUGUAACACUUUAUUUUCAACACAUUCUAUUUUAUUUGGUGAAAUUUAUGUGAGUACUUAUUAAAUAUGUGAGUUACAUUCUCCAUUUGUUAUAUCCCAUGCCCAAACCAGAGGAAUCUACAUUAAUUUUAAUUUUUUUUUAACUAAUAAAGGUGGUUUUGAAAGAAAGUAUUAAAAACUGUAUUACCAAUACUCUUCUCAAAACAAUUAGAUAUUUUUUUAUAAAAAAAGAGCAAAAAAUGACAUUUCACAAACAAAUAAAUAAUAAACUAAAUGAAGAAUUAUAAAAAUUGUGAGAAUUGAAUUAUAAUUUCUGAAAAAUUAGGCAAUAAACUAGAAUUUGAAAUAUUUAAAAUGAAUAAAAACAUAUUAAAGUGUUGAAUUAAUAAGAAAAUAACUGCUAUGUUAUGUUAUGUUAUGUCUGAACUUCUCCAUGCAUAGAUUCAACUGGAAGAGAAAAUCGGGCAGGGCAGCACCGCAGAAAUUCACAGAGGAAAAUGGCGUGGAUUUGAAGUGGCAGUGAAGUGCAUAUCCGAAGAAUUUUUCCGCACUAACCAAAACGGUGUCGCAUACUUCUCCCAGGAGCUCGAAACGUUGUCGCGGCAGCGCCACAGGUUCGUGCUUCAGCUCAUGGGCGCGUGCAUCGACCCUCCCCGACGCGCGUGGGUGGUCACAGAACAUCUCAGCACCACGUUGAAGGAGUGGCUGCACGGGCCCGGGACCAGGCUCAGAGAGCGAAUGGUGCCACUUCCACUCUUCAAAGACAGAGUCAUUAGGGCCCUUGAAAUAGCCCAAGCCAUGCAGUAUCUGCACGAGCAAAAGCCCAAGCUCGUUCACCGUGACUUGAAGCCUAGCAACAUUUUUCUUGAUGAUGCCAUGCAUGUUAGAGUCGCGGAUUUUGGUCAUGCGCGGUUCUUGGGUGAUGAGGAAAUGGCUCUCACUGGAGAAACAGGUAAACACUGAAUGUCAUUUCUUUUGCUGCAAAUUAAAAAUAAAUAAAACGUUAUGAAAAAUAAUAUUAUAUUUUACUGUGAUAUUUUCGUGUUUAAGUCUCAUUUUAAAAGUUCAGUAUCUUGUACUUUAACUAUUUUAUCCUCCAUCUCAUAUUGUAGUUUUGAAAACCCAUUUAGAAUGUACUUAGAAAUAUAAUAGGCAAAAUUGUAAAAUUAGUCUCCCACUUUAUCUUCAAUUUCAGAUUUGGUUUCCAAGUUUUUUAAUUCACGAAUUUAGUCUCCCUAUUUUGUAAAAUCGUACAAUGUUGGUCCCCUGGGUCACAAUUGGAUGUUGACGAUUAGCAAGUUAUGUUGACUGUCACAUGUCAUGUUCUGAUUGGAUGUCAAUUCCAUGAAAAAUGAAAUGCAUUGUUGUUUUCAUUGACCAAUCAGAACAUGACACGUGGUCGUCAUCAUCCAAUAAGAUCAUGACACGUGGCCGUCAACAUUCCUUUGUAACAGUCAACGUCCAAUUGUGGCCUGGGAGACCAACAUUGCAUGAUUUUACUAAAUAAGGGGAUCAAAUUCGUGAAUUAAAAAGUUGGGGGACCAAAUCUGAAAUUAGAGAUAAAGUGGGGGACCAAUUUUAUAAUUUUGCCAAUAUAAUACAAUGAGAUGUAAGAUAAAAUAAUAAAAAUGCAAGAAACAAAUAUCUAAAAACUGGCUUGAACUUAUUUCAAGUUUUUUCUAGCUCAAUCCAUUGUAAUAACUUUCAAUCAACAUCGGACUCACUUGUAUUAGGUUGUAUUCCAUCUUAGUAUCUCUAAUGCUUUUUCAAGUGUUUGUGUUUGGUCAUAACCUCAUUGUCAUUAAUACAUGACAAUUUGUGAUAAUAAAGAAAUUAGCCAUAAAGACCAUUUUCACCUACUAGCUAGGAUGUUUGAAAAUCAAGUUGUACAUUUUUAAAUUUUAGAUGAGUAUUAAAUGACAUAAAGUUGAAUUGUGUAAACUAUAUUCUUUCUCCUUUUCUCAAAACGUGGCAUGUAAUGAUAUUGAUUAUGUUUGUAUUAUUUUUAGGAACAUACGUGUACAUGGCACCAGAGGUGAUCCGAUGUGAACCUUAUGAUGAAAAGUGUGAUGUGUACAGUUUUGGGGUUAUGUUGAACGAACUUUUAACUGGACAUUACCCAUAUGUUGAGACAGAAUAUGGUCCCACCAAGGUAUAUAUAUAUAAUCAUCACACUGAUCUUGAGUUGCCAAAUUAAUUUUGUUAAUUUUUUAUGUAAAUGUUUAAUUGAAUUGUUUAAUGCUAAUCUCAAUUAAUCUGAAAUGUCACUUGAUGUUGAUUAUCAUGAAAUUAAAUGUUUGAUGUUAUAAUAUUAGAUUGCCAUUGAAGUUGUGGAGGGUAACCUGCGACCUAAGCUUCCGUGUGAUGAUGUUGGCCAACCGAGAGAGCUUAUUGACCUUAUAUGCCUUUGCUGGGACAAAAAUCCAUCUACUCGACCAUCUUUUGCUACAAUCACCCUUUGCCUCAAAAGUUAUGCCAAGAAAAAUCUCCUUUAAAUUAAACCAGUGCUUAUUAUAUUUAAUUAAUCAAGUAUUAGCCACCAUCAUGACCAUUGCCUCGUUACCUUAAUUUGUAACUGAAACAAUUAAUUAAUGAUCAGAACAGGAUUAUUGUGUUUUUAUUUUUCAUUUUUGCAUUCAUGCAAUAUAAUUUUUUGAAUCUUGGUACGAAUCCUCAUAGUUAUAGUAUUUAAUGAGACCUAAUACAUGUCAUGACAUUUGAAAAUGUGACUUAGUUAACCACAAAUAAAACAUAUAAGGUUGAUUGAAUGAUUUAAAAAAGAAACAACAAAAACAUUAUGGGUUUGAUUUCUCCUUCUAACAAAAAACUAACAAUUAAUAUUUGUUAAUAAAAAGCCAUAAGUAAUAUGAGAGAAUUUUAGGUGGGUUGAAUUUGCAAAUUUAUUUCAAGCUUUUAUCAUAUUAAUUUGAAAUAUUUUUAACGUUGAUUUUAGCCAAUAAAUAUAUAUUUUUAAUGUUGAUUUUAGCCAAAAAAAACCACAAUAUAUAUAUUUUACUCGUUGUGAGUUUUUUUUAUAUAUAUUUUUAUUAAACUAGUAGCACUAUACUUUCAACUUGAUGACUUGAGUCACGUUAAAAUCUCAAUUUAUUUGUGUUCGAUAUUUUAAUUAGUAAAUAAAAUAUAAAAUUCAAUUUAUAACAACUGAUUUUGCAUGGAAGAACGUAAGGAUGAAGAAUGAGAUUUUGCACUUGUAAUGAGUUCUCUUCCUUUCUCUAUGUAGCUGGUUCUAAUGUUAGGCUUCCCUAUUCCUAUGGCCAGCUAAUUUUCUAGCUAGGGAUAUGAUGUAAAGUGUACAUGCAAAACCCAUAUCUUGUUGCUUUGAUCUCAAGUUCAUUACAUUGUUAGGAUCAUCACGUUCGAAGUAUUGUCUUCUUUGACGUUGGUUUGAGCCUCGUGAUUUUGUCCUACAUUAAUUGAAUUCUUGUUGUUUCGACCUCAAGUUCUUUACAUUGUUAGGAUCAUGUUCGAGGUAGUGUCCUCUUUGACGUUGGUUUGAGCCUCAUGAUUUCAUCCUUAAAAGGCACCUUAGAGGCUUAAGGGAUGAGGGUGUUUAUGAACUAUCCUUAGUAUCAAUUUCAAAGCGAUGCGAGACUAUUUUUGUGUAUCAAAAUAUUAGUCCCUAGUCCAAGCUAAGGGGCUAGAGGGCCUAUCAACCCUCAUAUAUGGCUUAGGCCCUCCUUCUAUUAUCAAUGCUUUGAUCUCAACUCUUUUACAUCGUUAAGGUCACUGCAUCUAAGUCAUUGUUUGUUUUGGCGUUGGUUUAAGUCUCAAAGAUUUGUCCUUAUAAGGCACCUCAGAGGGUUAGGGGAGGACGAUGUUUAUAAAAUCCUUAACUUCAAUUCCUAAGUGAUGUGAGAUUAUUUUGGUGUACCAAGACACUUGUCUUUAUUCAAUCAAUUAGAUUAUCUCAUUGUUUUAAAUUAUCGCUUGAGAUUGAUUACUCUAAGCAUGUGUAAAUCAAUUAAUCAAUGUGUGAUCAUACCUUAGUUGGUUGAUCACUACUAUAAAAAAGACAUUUAACAUCAGUUAAAAAAGUCAUUUAACACGAGUUUCGAACUGAUAUUGCAUCUAACGAUGUUGAAAAUUGAUUACUCUCAACAUCGAUUUUAAAACCGAUAUGAAACACAUUUCUACAUCGAUUGUUACUAAAACCGAUGUAGAAAGUGUUUAAAAAUUUGUAAACCUAUUAAUCAUCACAUUGGUUGUGAUCUUAACCAAUGUAGAAAGAUAUUUUUAAAAAAAAACAUGGUUUGUUCUUUUUAUUUCCUUCCCUCUCCCUACACCAAUUGCAUGCGUCAUACCUACAAUAUGCAUGCAUAGUGUCUAAUGAUAAAUUGUAGAUUUAUUUUAUUUAUUCACCAAAAGGCAGUUUGGCUUAAAAUUGAUUUUUUUUUUCAAUUACAAAAAAAUGUUGAUCACUAUCUUUAAUUGUCUUCUGGCUUUUGCAACCCUUUACAUGACUAGAGGUAACAAAUAGUCCACAAUGCACAUUUAUCACUUUCUGAAUUUAGUAGAUGUAACAUUUUUUAUGAAUGGGCACACGCACCAAUAAAACAUAUAUGAGAGUGAAUGGACAUGACAUGUCAGAACUCAAAGUGCAUUUCUCACUUAAAACUGAAUAUUUUAUAUAAAAAAAUACACAAAUUUUCCCAACCACUACAAUACCACGAGUUUUUUCAUCUAGAAUUUACUGCUUCCCCCAAAGAAAAUUUCAUCAUACAAAUUAUAGACUGUAGAAUAUUCUUUUGAAUGUAAUUAGUUAAUAAUGUAAUAAAUAAUCAAUUUUUUUUUUGUAACAAAGAAAAAACAAACAAAUUCAUCCACCAAUAAAAGCGGCAUAGAAUUUAUGGAAGAUAAAUUCAUGGAUGAUUUGAUGAUCGAUGAAAGGUAAAUCUAGUAAAGAAUUUAAAAAAUUAUAUCAACUUACUAAGAGUAAUACGCCUUGUGUGAAUUACACAGAGUAUUCUAUCUUCAAACAAGGGAACCAAAUAUUCCUCAGCAGCCUGCGGUAUGGUUAUAUAAAAAUCCAAAAGAAGGUCAUGUUUUAUAAGAAAUAUGGUUAUAAAUUACACAACAACGCUAUUGAGAAGGACUUGGUAUAAGGCAACCAUAAAAAACAUCAGAGAUGUAAAUGUAGCAACUGGUGAGACACAUUAAAGGGGUACAUAAGAGUUCAUUUGGAUGAGGGGUAAUUUUGAGAGGGGCGGAGGAGCAAAGUACAGGUCAGGAGUAGUGCUCCUUGCUUGGGAGUAAAAAAUUUAUGGAAAAGAAGGUAAAUGAGAGGGGGCCACUUGUCAUUAAACUCUACUACCCCCCCCUCCCCCCCAACUUGGGAGUUGAUAAAAGGUAAAAUUGUAAAUGACGAUUCCAAACAUAGCCAAGUUGUUGAAAAAGUAUUAUGAAAUUUACAUGGAUGGAAUAGUAAGAGAAUAGAAGCAUUACUUGCUAUCUAAAGAAGCAUGCAUUGCACUAGUGCAUGUGUGUUACUCAACUCUAAGGGUAGCAAAAUAAAGUUCACAUUCUUAAAUGGUUUAAAAACAGUCAACAUUCUCAAUUAAUAAUCACCUCAGGAGAUAACUUAGUUGGAAGAGCUCUGAGACAUGCAAGGGAACAAGUUUAAACCCUGCAAUACACUUUGCAACCUUUUCCACUCCCCCUCCCUUUUGGAGCCACUCGUAACCUUUCCCUCUAUGUACUAAAGAAAGAAAGAAAAAAUUCCAAGUAUGCCUGUCGAAUUCAUAAAGAUUUAUGAAAUACUAUUGCCAAGUCCUUGCAUAAUUGAUAUAUUAAUAUUGUAAUAUGAAUUAAAAGUUAAAAAUAGAGCCUUCUAAUAAAACAUAUAUCACUUGGAAGUUUGAUGGAACACCUCUUAAGAAAUAGACAAGUUAAUAUUAUUCUCAUUUCACUAAGACUGUAGAUAACUAAAGCAUAUUGUGUUAUACUAAAUGUCUAAAAUCUCAAUUUUGAAUAGUCAAUGGGUUCUUCUAUAUGUAGAUUUGGUAAUAUUUGACAAAGUUUCAAUUAUUAAAUAAUCAUGUAAAACAUACAAAUAAAUUAAACAAACAAAAAAAUUGGACAACAGUAACAUUAAGUAUGAAAAUUUUAAAAGUUCAACUAGGAGAAAAUUGAAACAAGCCACGUUUGCACUAUAAUUAGAUGAAUUGCAAAUUUGCAACAAGCACCCUAGUGAUAACUCAAAUGAGCAUGGAAAAAGUCGCAUACCUCUUGAAGUGCUACCACAGCUUCAGGUGUCCAACGAGACACCUCCGUAGAGAAUUGAUUUGUAAUCUGUUUGACCUAUAGCCAAAAGUAAAAAUAUUACCAAGACAACAAGAACAAACUUCUCAACAGAUUUAGUUCAGCCAAAUCAAAUAAUAAUUCCAUAUAGAGCAUGUUCUUAAAACACUUUCAUCAGUGAAUAAAUAAAAUAGCACCCAAACUAUGAUGCUCAUUUUUAUGCCUAAGUUUACAUCAAAUAAUGUUAGAGUGAGAGAAGCUGCAAAUGAAGAAUUAUGAAAAGGGCAAAAUUUAGAUGCUACUACUUAAAUGAUUUUGGAGUUGUUCUCCAAUUAGAAUUGAUGUUUCAUCUCAGUAACCUACACUAACAUUUAAUGCAAACCUUUAUUAUGCAUAUUAUUGUGGUGAAAAUUCAAUGUACCAAAAGGCAGCUUGAGCCAGGUUAAGUUCAGAUUCCAAUUCCACAAUCGGGUUUUUCUAUUGUUCUAUCUACAAUUGACAUAGUUUCUGAUUUAGUUUGGAUGGUGAUACUCCAUGGUAUUGAGAAGAGUUGAAAUUCAAGUCAUCUAUUCUAUCAUGGCCUUCCUUUGGAAAUUUAACCUGCAAAGGAGUUCCUUGGUCAUACCCAAAUUGAGAUCAUGAGUAAAAUCAUAUAUAUGUUGUGGCUACAAAUGGGACUAUAUGUCAUAUACAUUAUCUUUCACAUUCAAUAGGUGUGAAAGUUGUGACAGUUAUAGAUAUAAUAAUUAACUUAACAAUUACGACAAAUACAAAAAUGUAACCAAAUGCUACAAACUCCAUGGUAGUUUGAUCCAAAACUUUGCUUACAACAAAGGUUGCAAGGAUCUUCGUUAUAAUUACAAAAACCAUACAAAUUUUUACCUAGACAUCUUUCAGGUACUGCCAUUUACACUUGAUUACCUACAACAAACAAUAUAUCAGCUAGUCACAUAAAUAAUUAAUCUUGUGAAAAUUCAAUGCACACAAAUUAAAACUGAACAUCUAGAAUUUGUGGAAAGUAAUGCUUACCAAAAAUAGUGUGAUUGUGAGCGUUGUAGCUCUUUAUGUUGCUUCUCGGCCUGUAGUGGUUCACAAUCAUGGCAGGGAGAGAUGGUGUUGGGUUGAACAGGCUGCAAUUCACCAUCGAAAUGUCAAUGUCCUUUGGAACAACCCCCGUAAUGACCAAAAGAGCGUCCAGGGCGCCGAACAUGACGGCCUCUACCUCCAGACGCGCUUUGCUCAUGCAGAGCUUAGGCGAGCAAGAAGUGAUUCUUCUGGGAAAGUAGGUCUCGUCACCCAAACCCGCCCUUGUGGAAAUCUUCCUCUGGAAUUGGCGAGACUCUUCCUCGAACCCCACACUCUCUUCGCCCAUCUUUAGAAACCCCUCCACCGAUAUUUUGCGUUCUUUCUCUGGCUUGUAACACGCGAAGUCCACCACGUACAGAGCGGCCAGGGAGAGGAGCACCGCCGAAGCCGCCACCACAGUCUCGGUGUCGAGUUGGUGGUUGUGGGAGCAGAGUUUGGAGAGCUUGAGACUACCAGUUACCGAGAACAUGAGAAGGAGGGUGAUGGCUAGCAUCACAAUGAUGGCUACGAGUGAGAGCAAAUCUUCGACGCUUGCUUCAUGGAGACACUGAAAGGUCCCAAAUCGUGAAUGGUUAGGGUUGGGGUUGCAUUGAGUGGUUAGAGGUGAGGACUUAGGGUUAUUAGAAAUAUAAGAUUCACAACUUCAAUUUUUUGAGAUCAAUGGUGAGGGAUCGAUCAAAACAUCCAUUUUUUUAAAAGUUGAUUUUUUAAAAAUCGAUGUAAAUAGGUGUUGUUAAAAACAUAUUUUUUAAGUUUGGGAUGAACUUUUAAGAUAGUCAGGUUAGAAACAUUACAUAAUCAAACGUGUUUUCUAUAUUUUAAUCGGAUUAAUUUUUCUUUUAUUAAUCACUCUCUUUACACUUCACACUUCCCCAAUUGAGAUUCCUACAUGAAUUUAGGAAUUUAAAUUAGGGAAAUAAUAUUAGUGGUUCAUGGUCAAUAAUUGUUGAUAGAAUAUAGAGGAAGGUUUGCAAUUGAAAGUCUAAUUUUGGGGAUUCAGAUAAAACAGACAAUGGGGGGAAUUUUAGGCACUUAUGAAAUCAUAACUGCAGGAUUUCUCAUCACAUAAUUUUAGUCUAUGUGUUUCAUGUGCUAUCUGUUGUAAUUUUUUUCUCCAAGAAAUCGAACAAUCCAUUUCCCCAAAAUUCAACUUGGUUUCACAUUGACUAUUUUUAGAAUUUAGUUGUUUUGAAACCAUUUCUUUUAAGGUAUGAUAUUUAAACUUUAAAUUUAUUAUUAUUAUUAUUGUCUAAGAUAUAUUUUUCCUAAAACACAAUAUCUUAUACACAUUAAUAGAUUUUAAUAUCGUCUUAAAAUAUAAGUAAGUCUAACUUAACUCAAAAAAUUAAGUUAUAAAUCGAAGUCUUUCACUUAUAUAUACAGUAUCUUGAGUAUAUUACAAAUUCAUAUAGGAUUUCCAAUACUUAUAAAUGUCACUUGUAAUCCUUUUUAAGUUUUUUUUUGCUUUAUUUUAAUGAAUUUUAUGAAUGAAUUUAUCAACAAUAACAUUUUUCCAACUCAUUUCAGAAAAGUUCCAAAAUUUAUGAAUAACUUCAUAUUAAAUGAGUGUUUUAAGUAGGCUCUUCGUCAAUGUGCUUCCUUUGUACUUUGUUCAUCUUGUACUUCUUAGUUAAAUCAAAAUAAGAAGCUUUUUUUUUUUCAUGAGUUCACUACUUUGAAUCCAGGGAGCAUUAUUUAAAUGAAGCUUUGAGCCGAUUGUUCAUGAAACAAUGGUAGGGCGUUCAUUUAAUUGUUUAAUUGAUGUUAUUGUUCUUAUUGUUUAGAAUGACUAGUCCUUCCAAUAUCUUUGUAUUCUAUACAGCAAAUCCCCACAUACUCUAACACCAUUUUACAAAUGAAAACAUGCAUGAUAAUAUGCAUAGAUUACAAGAAUUGAAUGUGCUCUCUCAUGAUUAACUUUGAAGUUAAAUUUGGACUGUACGAUCCAAUAAUUUGAGGUGAAGGUCAGAAUGCAAGAGUUUUUGUUUCCGAUUUCAAGUCUAUUAUAUUGUUAAACUCGCCACAUUUGAAGUAUUGUCCUUUGAUCUUAAAAGAUGUCUUCAUAUCUUGAGGGAGAAAAAUAUUUAUAAACUAUCAUUGGAAUUGUUUGCUAAGAAAUGUAGGAUUUUUAAUGUAUUGGAACAAUAGCUCUCGGUUCAGAUUGAUGGAAUUUUGACACUAGAAGGAGGGCUACUCUUCCAAUACAUAAAAAAGAAAAGUCUCGCAUUAUUAAUGAGUCUGAGAGACUAGAGAUAGUUUAUAAAUAUUUUAUUUCCUUAACCUAUUAAGGCAUUUAUGAAAAACAAAAUUGUGAAGACUCAUGAGAGUCAAAGCGAAUAAUUUCUUAAAUGUAAUAAGCCUAACAAUUUAAUGAACUUGAGGUUGGAACGGUUUCUCUCCAUCAAUGGCUUGAAAUCUUAGAGAUGAAAAGCCAUGCCAUGUCCAGGAAUAAAUCUAGCAUUUUCUUCUGUGUACACGUGAGUUUCAUUUUGCAGCCUGCAACAAUGAUUAAGAAAAAAGGAAGUCAAAAUCCAAUAAAGUGAUGAACAUGUUAAUAUCAGCAUCUAAAUUGUUCAUUGAAUAAUGUUCUGACAAGAGAAUGUUAACUUGGUUUAUCAGGGCCUUAAAUUUUAUUUAAGAUUUUUGGGUUUGAAUUUGAGUUGCAAGUACUUACGAUUGGUAAACAGUUUUGUUCAUAGUUGUAGAUGAAUGGAACCAAGCACCAUUUAGAUAGAGAAGUUCCCCAUCUAUUCUUGCUUCGAUUCUUCUGUCCAUUUCAUCAGCGCAAAUCGAUAGUGGUUGGUCCGAAGCCUGAAUUGAAAGCAUAAAACUUCUUGUGAAUAAUAUUUAAGAGUACUUCAUUUUAGUCUCUCAUAUUAUAUAUAAAAGUGAUUAAUAUAUUAAAAUUAAAAUUAAAUUGUUUGAAUAUUAUUCAAUUUCUUUGAUAGAAAUAAUUUUUAGUUGAUUUUUUUUUACUUCUCAAUCUUUCAUAUUAGUUAGAGUCUAUUUAUAAAUCGGAAAGUUAAAAAAAUAUAUAAUUAUUUUAAUACAUUAGAUAUUUUAGUUAUCUAACUUUAUUUAAAUUUUAUUUUUAAUUGUUGGCCUUAAAAGUUUCAUUCAUGUUAAAAAACAUUAAUUAACAUUAAGAAUAACAGUGAAUGAAAUUUUUUAAGUCACAAAGUAAAUUAAAAUUUUAAGGAAUUCGGAAAAAAAAAAUUGACACAUGUAAUGACAAUAACUUGAACAAGAGUUUAGUGGAGUAUUUAAUUAUAAGUACAAAAAGAAACAAGGCUUUUUUUUCGCAUACCAUAACCCAACCCCAUGUGUCAGCAAAUGAUGGUACAUGAGUCGUGUAUGCAAUCACAUCUGCACCAAAAAAAUAAAACUUUAGUUUCAGCUUAAAGACAAUAUCCUUGUGCUCUGUUAAUUCUGUUAAUGAUAUCUGAAAUUCUUUCCCAUAAUAAAAGACUUGAAUUAGAUAGUCUUACAUUUGAAAACCUGUUUGACUGUGUUAUAUAUAGAAGUGAAGACCUCCUUGUGUGUGAAGAUACCUGCUGGUCCAGCCUAAGCACAAAAUGAAAUGUUUUUAUUAAACUUUAUUGAGUAGGAGAGUAGAAAAAACUCUCUAAUCAUGACUUAAAAAAGGUGGUUUCUUCCUGCACCUAUGAGUUAUUUCCUACACUUUUUUGGAAAUAUUUUUUAUCUUUUAGAUUGAUCAUUUCAGAAACCAAAAUUUAGAAUCAUUUCGGAAUUUAAUUUUAUAUUCUAGAUUGAUCAAUUUGAAAGUAAAAAAUAAAAAAUAAAGUGCAGGAAACAACAGAGUCCUUGAAAGGGUGUUACUCAUAUUCAUAAUCUACCUACCUGGGUCACAAAAAUGCCAUUAUCAUUGAGCUUGGGCUUCAGGAUCUUCUCGUAGAAGGAUUUGGUGUAGAGUUGAUAGCAAGGCCCAUCUUCAAGUGGGUCUGCCAAAUCUCCAACGAUGAUAUCAAACUUCUCCUUUCUUUUCUCCAAUUCAGCCCUUAAAAAAUGAGACAUAUCAUUGGACUAUAGAGAUAGUUUAUUUAACCUUGUCGAGGAAGAUAGAUAUUAAUCUUAAAAGCUUAAAAUAAAACCUUUAAUAAUUUAGUGAUAAAUAGAUAUAUAUUUCAUCUUAAAAUUUUGAAGGCUAACAAAAUUGAUUCUAUCCAACACUAUAGUUUUGUGGUAAAAAAUAAUAUAUAAAUGAAAGGUAAAAUGUCAAAAUCAUUACUAAGAAAAGCAAGUUACACUUACUUGGCAUCAUUAAUGACAAGGUCGAGCUUCUUAUGAGAAAACGCCUCCUUAUUUGCAAUCAAGUAUUUUCGGCAGAAAUCUACCACCUCCUGCGAAAAUUAGAAGUUGAAAUUCCAUUGACUUUAUUUGAGUGUCUUCAUCAAUCUUAAGAAUAGGAUAUAGUGUAAAUUCUUGUUGUAACGUUGACAUCUCAACUUAUCAAACAUUCACUUGUUACUAUAAUAAUUUAUACACUUCCGACAUUUUUUUUUUGUGAAAACCAACAAAAUUCAAUAAUAUUUUAUAGUUGAGUGCAUAUAUAUAUAUAUAUAUAUAUAUAUAUAUAUAUAUAUAAAAUAAGAUAAAAUAUGUUUAGUUACUGUAUUUUCGUUGAAUUUUAUUUUUAAUCUCUAAAUUUUUAUAUUGUAAUCCUUGAACUUUAUAUAUAAAAAAAAUGUGUUUAGUCAAUUCUCACAUAAUUCUCUCAUAUGACAUUAGAAGAGACUAAAAAUAUGUUUUUUUAUAGAAUUUUAAUGACUAAUUACAUGAAGACUAAAAAUAAGAUUUACAAAAAAAAAGUAUAGGUAAGACAAAUAUAUUUUAUAUAAGUUUAAUUAUCAUUUAGUCUUUAUAGUUUUUAAAUUUAUUCCUUUUAGUUUAUAUAAUUCAUAAGUGAAUUUUUUAGUCUUUAGGGUUUAUAUUUUAAUUCUCAAAAAAAAUUUAUCGUUAAAAUUUUUUAAUUAAUGAAGUUAAAAAAAAUCUAACAACCAAGAACUUUUGAUAAUUAAAAUUUAAACUUCAAAAACUAAAAAAUCUACAGAGAUAAGUUUAAAAAUUAUAGAUACUAAAUUCAUAAUUAAAUCUUUUAUAUAUUAAAAAAAUACACAUUGAUCUCUGCCCAUAUUAAUAUGGAUAUAAUUAACGUUUGAAAUUGAUGAACGGCUAAGAAGCAAAAUAAUAUGGUAUGGUAGUAACCAACCUUGUCUAUAUCGCACAUGACCACUCUGACCAUUGACCUGUGCUUAAGGGCUUCCCUAGCAGCAGAACCUUCACCUCCCCCCAUUAUAAACACAGUCUUGGGACUGCCAUAAUCAUUAACAUAUGUCUCUUCAUAUUAGUGAAGGGUUCAUAAGCCCAAUAGAGUCUACCAAGAAGCAUAAUCAUGUAUCAUGUAAUAUAUAUAUAUAUAUAUAUAUAUAUAUAUAUUCGUUACUCGGCUUGAGUACAUGUACCAUUAAGAAAACUAUAUGUUCAUUCAUUUAGGUGCUCUUUAGAUAAAACUUUCUAUAAAUAUUUAUAGGAAAAAAUAAAGUUUUUUAAUAAAUUGAAAUUAACUCAUAUAUAGGUUAAAAUAAUUUUUUUGGAGAAAAUAAAAUAAGAAAACUUCUACAAAUUAACUUAUAUAUAAGUUAUAUAAGUUAAUUUUAAUUUAUGUGAGAAGUUCAUUUCAUUUUUGUAUUAUUUUCUUCUUCCAAAAAUAUUUAUUCAAACAUCGCCUUGAAUUGCUUCAAUUUCAUAUUUACAACAUUUUUUAACUAUAAAAAAUUAAAUAAUUUGACCAAUUUUUUUAUUAAUCAGGAGGGUAGUAAAUAUAAUGAUCAUGGGAAAAACAAAAAAUCUCCUUUUCUGUAGUCCACGAAAAUUAUCCUUUACCAAAAUCCCAUCAUUAUAAAAGCACUGGCGCACGCCCGUUUACGCAUACCUACUGUAUAUAAAAUAAAGAGAGAUCAAACUAUGUGUGAACUUGGGUAUAAUAUUUAAUGCAAUAUUUAAUACUUUUAGAAAAUAAAUAAAUUAUUUAUUUACAAACCAUAAUUAAUAUAGUAUUAUCAUUUCACCUAAAAAACAGGUUUCGCAAAGGCUGGACUCAAAACAUUAUGUCAUAUUUAUCAUUUGGAACUUAUAGCAUUUUCAACAGAAUGGGUUUUUUAAACUUUUAAAAAAUACUUAUUAUGCAAUUUUAAUAUUGGAGUAAUUGGCAUGAUAGUGUUGUAUAUAUAAGCAAUCUUAAUGGUUUUCAAGAAGUCAAACAAUUGUAUAACUCAUUUUAAAUAUUUAAGAAUUAAGAAUUGAUGAAGUUUUUAAAUUCCAAGUAACAUUGUAAGCUUUGCUUUAAAAAAAAAGAAGGAACAUUGUAAGCCCUCCAGAAAUGAAUAUUAAUAAACUCAAACAUCAUUCAACCAUCAUGCUCUUACUUAGGAUGGCAUAAAAGAGGUGGAUGAAUCAAGCAUUCAUGAUAAAUAAAUUCGUCCGUUUCAGCACUCUGCAUCUUUCCAUCAAGCACCAAGGCCUGUAUGCAACAUCAACAAUUAUCAUCAAGUUAGUAACAAACACUUUUUUUUUAUAGUAGUUAAAACUUAAUAAAAUUGUUGAAGUUUAAACAUCAAAUAAGACCUGGAAUUCACUUCAUCUGUGUAUAUUAAAUUUCACUCUAACUAAUAACAGAAUACGUGCUACAAAAUGUCUUAAUAUAUAACAUUUCUCAAUAUUAUUUAAAACUUUUCCCUCCCUCUUUUUUCUCAAUACUACAAACAACUAGAAUAGAAGAAAGCAAUUCAGAAUAUCCUAUUUAUUUCUUUUUGUUCUGUCCUUAUGAGAAGAAGAAGCAGAGAUUGCAAACCUUUCCAAAACGCUUUGUAUCUAAGAGAGCUAUGUCCUGGUACUCGCUAAUGGCUUUAUGGAGCACACUGUUGAAAUUGAAAAAAUAAAAAUAAAAGAAAUGCAUUAAAGUAAUGAAACAAAAAUAAAAAUUAUAUCUAUCAAGCAAGGCAGAGGCAGAGCAAAAUGAAAAUGAUAAUAUUUUUUUGUUUGAACCAAUAUACAUUGAUUUGGAGUAGUGAAUUGCAGAAGCAAUGAUGACCAACCUGUUGAGUUUAAAAGACCAUUUUAGAUCCUCAUCGAUGAUUUCCUCGUACCAAGAAGAAUCAUGGUUCUGAUCAUUCACAUGAUGGUUUUGUUGGGUUUCAAUUUCAUGUUCAAACUUUGAGAACCCAUUAAUGUAGAACACCUCUGGAGCUUCACCCAUGUCAGGGAAAAAAAAAAAUAUAGACAACAAAACAGUGAUUUCGCAGAAAUGGAUGAAAAGUGCAAUGUGGUUAUGGAGUUGCAGGGUGUGGCAAUAGUGGGCAGCACUCGCUUUUAUAGCUACCCCAUCAUGAAGAAUGAUAUUAAUUAAAAUUUGAUUUCGUUUACACGUCAUGAGAGAAAUAUUAAAUAAUUUUGUUUGAUUUUUUUUAUUUUAAAAUGAAUUAAAUAUAUUUUUCAUUCUCAUCAAAUUGUCAAAGUUCAGAUUUUGUUCCUCCAAAAAUUUUCAUCCAUUUUUUUUUCACAUAAAAUUAUAAUGUUUUAUUUUUAUAUUUACAUUAAUUAUAUUUGUAUUUUUAACUUGUACAAUAGUAUCUUACAGCCGUUACCAUUCAUCAUAGUACUAAUAAUGUUUGUACUUUUUUUUCUUAAUCAUUUGAUUCUUUAAGAAAAAAAAAUCUUAAUUAAUCUAGAGUUUGAUAAAAGAUAAAUAAAAUUUGAUAAAAAAAUUAUUUUAGUUAAUAAUCAAACUCAAAUAGUAUUUAGAUUAUUUAAUUUUAACUUCAUAUCAAUUAUGCUCCAUCACUCCAUUGAUAAUAAUGCUUGUACUAUUAGAUAUGCUUACAUACACGUCUCUAAUAAUACAAGUAGUUUAAUAUUUUACCAACAACCUGUCAUAUUAUGUGACACUAAUGUAGUCUUCAAAUUCAGCAUCUGGACCUCACCAUUCUCCUCCACGGUUUGACAUAUAUAUAUAUAUAUAUAUAUAUAUAUAUAUAUAUAUAUAUAUAUAUAUAUAUAUAUAUAUAUAUAUAUAUAUAUAUAUAUAUAUAUUAGGUAUUUUAUUUUUUAAAAUAUAUAAAUUUAUUUAUGAAUCUUUUAUUAGGUUCAGACUACACGUGAUGAAUUCACACUAAAUAUUAAAGUUUGAAUUAUACUUGUUACUUGAAAAGAGGUUUUAAUAACAUAUAUCAAUACGUGGUAUUUUUAUAAUUAUAAUAAUGAUUAUAUGUUUCUUUGGUUUUGGUAACUUAAUUUAUCCGAAUAAUAUAGCUUAAAUAGUUAAAAUUUUCUACAGAUAUAUAAAUUUUGAGUGGAUCGUGGGAAAAUUAAAUUUGAAGGUAAUUAUUACAAUUAAAGAUAAAAAAAAAAGUGUAAUAUAUGAUUUGAUUUGAAAAUAAAUCCGAAAAUAUCAUUACUCCCAUCACUUACUACAAUUGCUGUAAUUAAUAUGAUAUGAAUUUUCUUAAAUCAAGUAAUACACACUUGCAUACGGAAAUAAUAAAUGUUAAUUCUUUUAUGGGCGAUUUUGGAAUCAUGUGAUUUUAGAGCCGUNNNNNNNNNNNNNNNNNNNNNNNNNNNNNNNNNNNNNNNNNNNNNNNNNNNNNNNNNNNNNNNNNNNNNNNNNNNNNNNNNNNNNNNNNNNNNNNNNNNNNNNNNNNNNNNNNNNNNNNNNNNNNNNNNNNNNNNNNNNNNNNNNNNNNNNNNNNNNNNNNNNNNNNNNNNNNNNNNNNNNNNNNNNNNNNNNNNNNNNNNNNNNNNNNNNNNNNNNNNNNNNNNNNNNNNNNNNNNNNNNNNNNNNNNNNNNNNNNNNNNNNNNNNNNNNNNNNNNNNNNNNNNNNNNNNNNNNNNNNNNNNNNNNNNNNNNNNNNNNNNNNNNNNNNNNNNNNNNNNNNNNNNNNNNNNNNNNNNNNNNNNNNNNNNNNNNNNNNNNNNNNNNNNNNNNNNNNNNNNNNNNNNNNNNNNNNNNNNNNNNNNNNNNNNNNNNNNNNNNNNNNNNNNNNNNNNNNNNNNNNNNNNNNNNNNNNNNNNNNNNNNNNNNNNNNNNNNNNNNNNNNNNNNNNNNAAGAAUUUUUUGCUAGAUAUCAAUAUAAUAUAAUAUAUAAUUUUAAAGUAUUUUAUAAAAUAAUAUUUAUCUAUACAUAACAUGAUCAUACACCACAGUAUAUUAUAAAUUUAUGAUGUUGAAAUUAAUUUCCUUCAAUAGAAUUGAGACUUUUUUAAAAAAAAAAAUUCAAUUCAUCACUCAAAGAAAUUAAAUAUCCAAUAAGUACUUGUUACAUUAUGAUGUUUGGAAGUACUAUCUUGUUGUACUUUUCGUAUCCCCUUGUAUUAGUAUAAGUACCUCGACAUCUGAAUGCUUAUUUUUGUUGAAAAAUCAUCUUGAUUAUAAAUUAACAUUUUCAUAAAUAAAAUUAUUCACAUUUACAAAGAAUAAUAAAAAUACAUAUAAAAAUUAUAUCAUAAAAAAAAUAAUAACAAAUAUAAUAAUUUAACGUGAUUUGAUACAUUUUAUCUACGUCCACUAAAUUAUCUUAACAAUAUUUCACUAGCACACAAAUGAUUAUAAGAUUAUAACUCAUCCCAAAUAGUAUAUCACUCUACACGCCCGAAUACUCUAUCCAAUAGUUACAAGAAAUGAUAAUACUCUGAUGCAAAAAUAGUUUUUUCCUCAACAAAGUGACUUUGAUUCACAAUCUUUCUUCUCACACUCUUUCUUCAUGUGUUGUAUUUCUCCACUAAUUAUCUUCUCUAUUUAUAGGGAAGAUUGUUACCAACUAUAAUAAAUAAACUCUCUUGAAAGUUCAAACAAAAACAACUUUCAAUGUAUUCAUUCAACUAAGAUUCAUCUAGUAAAAUAUAAUCUUUUACUUUGUAUUUAAGUCAUAUAAACCUUAAUGAUAAAAAUUCAAUUCCCGACCUUAUCUUUUGGCUUAACUCUACAAUUUUUGGGUUGAUUGUGAAAAAAAUUAAUUGCAAAUGAAUGAUAUUUAAUUAGAAAGAAAAAACAAUAAAUCAUUAUUAUAUUAUUACUAUUCUAAUUUUGAUUCAAUAUUAAUAGUCAUUUUGUCUUAAUAUUUAAUAGAUUUAAAUGUAAUUUUAAUUUGUUGCUUUUUAAAGUUCAUAGUUUGUCUUUUUAAUUUAAAAAUAAAGAUAUUUAAUUUUUAUAUUUUUUAAAAUCCAUGAUUUUAGUCAGUUUAUUUUAAAAUAAAAUCAUUUAUUCUCCUAGUUUUAAAAAAAUUAUAAUUUUAAUCCUACCAUUGAGCUAAGGCAUUAAUUAGUUCAUUAUUAAAAAAUUAAUAUUAAUUAUGACAUUAAUUAAAUAAAUAAUUUUCUGUCGUAUUAUUAAAUUUGAACUGCAUUACAUUAGGUUAAUCUCAUCACCGAUUAAUAUUAUGAAUUUGAUGAAAUGAUGAAGGUUUCAAAUUGGAGCGAUUGUGACUUGUGAGUUGUUGGUUUUUUAAUUUUAAAAACAAAACCUGUUGAACAAAAUUGAGGUUAAAAUGGUUUUUAACCCAUUUUUAAAACACUUUUGGAUCAGUUUGGAAAUCCAAAAAAAGAUAUUUCUUUUACAUAGUUUUAAGUUUCCUUUUUCUCUACCCUCUCUGAAAGAAGACAGAAUCCUCUGUCAGUCAUUAUUCCAAACAAGUAACAACUUCAUCUCCGUCGCCGGCCACCCCGCAAUCACCGCCACCCACCCCAGCUACAGUCGCCAGCCACCCCAUCAUCGCCGCUAGCCUGUCCACCACUGCUGCCAACCACCUUGUUACUGUUUCCGACAACCCCUCAUCGCCGCUAGCUACCCCACCACUGCCGCUAUCUGACACUCCUUCAUCCCACACCCACGACUUUCCUUUUUUCAACUAGUAUCCCGCGGGGCCACAGUUGUUGCCACAGAACCAGCCAACAGCAAUGGCUACCCAACGGCUGGUGGUGAUGUGUGUUGUUUGGGGAAUGCUGUUAUGUUACUCUUCUGCCGUGAUAAUGACCAAAUUAUCAACAACUUUUAAAAAUUGAAAACCAAGAAAAUUUAAUAAAACUACAAAAUAGAAACAUACACUNNNNNNNNNNNNNNNNNNNNNNNNNNNNNNNNNNNNNNNNNNNNNNNNNNNNNNNNNNNNNNNNNNNNNNNNNNNNNNNNNNNNNNNNNNNNNNNNNNNNNNNNNNNNNNNNNNNNNNNNNNNNNNNNNNNNNNNNNNNNNNNNNNNNNNNNNNNNNNNNNNNNNNNNNNNNNNNNNNNNNNNNNNNNNNNNNNNNNNNNNNNNNNNNNNNNNNNNNNNNNNNNNNNNNNNNNNNNNNNNNNNNNNNNNNNNNNNNNNNNNNNNNNNNNNNNNNNNNNNNNNNNNNNNNNNNNNNNNNNNNNNNNNNNNNNNNNNNNNNNNNNNNNNNNNNNNNNNNNNNNNNNNNNNNNNNNNNNNNNNNNNNNNNNNNNNNNNNNNNNNNNNNNNNNNNNNNNNNNNNNNNNNNNNNNNNNNNNNNNNNNNNNNNNNNNNNNNNNNNGAGCGUACCUUCCAGCGAUUAUAUUUUGAAAUAAAAAUCACCCCAAAUGGAACCUAAAAUAGAUUUAUUAACAGAUUAAAUAUCUUUAUUUUAAAAUAAAAAAUUAAAAAUAUGUAUUUUAAAAAAAAUUAAAAAGAUUAAAUAUUUCUAAUUUUAAAAUACUAAAAAUUAAAAUUACAUUUAAGUCUAUUUAAUAUUAUCUUCAAUAUAAGAAAAUUGUUUCAUCUAAAAAGAACUAUGAGUUCAGUAUAAAUAUUACAUAUUGCGCUUUUUUUUACCAAUUGAGUAAAAAAAUUCGCUUUUUUUUUUCAAAUAAUGAUAAUAGUUUUUAAAUUAUUUCUUAAGAAGGAAUAACUUGUAGCAGGUAUACAAAAGUCGUAAUUAUGAUUUUAAUUUUUUUUUAACUGAAAUCAUAAAUAAUUUUAUGAUUUCAGUAUAAUUUUAUGAUUUCAGUAUAAUUUUUUUUUAUGACUUCAAAGUUCAAAUUACGAGAUUAAAAAAAUAUUAUGAUUUCAAAAGUCAUAAAAGCAAAAAAAAAAAAAAAAAAGACUUACAACUUGAAGUUGUAAAAAGUAAGUUACACUAAAGUCUUAUUUAGUUAAAAAAAUUAAAGUGUAGAAGUAGUAACAAGACUUAUCUCCUUUUCGAAAAUAAUUUAAAAAUUACCCCAUUUAAAAAAAAAUCAAAAAAUUGCAUCCAGUUGAUAAAAAACCUACAUAUUAUCCAUCAUCCAUGUUUUCCGUAUGAUAAAUAUAAAGAUAUCCUAAUUAUUUUUUAAAACUUUGUAAAAAUAAUUAAUUCAAAUCUAUAAAAAAUAAUUAUAAUUUGAAUUACAAUUUACAUACAGAAAUAAAAAUAUCUGGUAUAAAUCCAUGUAUAUCGUACCUAACACGCAUCACUUGAAUUUAUUUAAAAAUAUAUAAUUAAAAAUGUUAUUUUAGAAAAAUAUUAUAUUUUUUAAAUAUAAUUAGGAAUUCUCAGUUUAGAUGGAUUGAAAUAUUGUUUCACAAUAAUUAAUUAUAUUAUUAAAUUAUUUAACAUAUAAUUAAUUUAAAAAUUAAAGUCUAAUAGAUAUAUAAUUAAUUAUAUAUCUAUAAUAGACAAAAAUAAUUAAUAAUUAAAAUGUUAUACUUUAUAAUUCAUGUUUAAAAUAAAUAAAUAAUUCUUUUUAAAGAUAUAUAAUAUUUAUAUAAUUUAUAAAAAAUUAUAAAUAAUAUUUAUCCAUACAUGACACUGAUCAUAUAUUUUAGUAUAAUUAAUUCAAAUAAUAUCAGUAUUUUUAUCUUUUUUUAUAUAGUUAUUUGAUACAUAUAUUCUACUUUUGAGAUGGACCUUACAAAAGACUCAAUAUGAAAAACCAUGAUACAAUAAGUGGUACCUCACAUCUAUCAAAUUGAGGUUGACCUCCGGUCACACUAAGGUAUGUUGUACAAUUUUGAAAACAAUUUAUAUUUCGGAUUAGAUUUAUUGUUUGUGUAAAACAUUAAUCUUGAAACGUCUCAUUUUGUUUCAAAAUCGUGUUAUUUUUUGGAAAAUAUAACAAAAUUUUGUUUAGGGUUAAUAUGGGUUUGACUAUAUCAAAUGAAAUCAUAUACUCGAAUUGGUGUGAACAACUCAAGUUAGAUUGGGUAUGAUAUAAUUAAUGAAGGCUUUGUUAGCAAUGACGAUGAGUUUCAAUUUUUAGUUUUUAAAUGCAAGUUUUAAAACUAAAUAUGUUAGACAAAAAUGAAGUUGAGAUAGUUUUUAAUUAAAUUUUUGUCACCCACGACGAGUGGCAGAUGCACACGAGCACCCUACUAAGCCUCUAGUGUGUGUUACCCAUGGUGAGUGACAUACAUACAAGAGCAUAUUACUAUUAUGACUUUAGUGUGUGUCAUCCACAACGAGUGAUACACAUGCAAGAUCAUAACAUUAUGCCUCUAGUAUAGGUCACCCAUGGUGAGUGACAUAUAUGCAAGAGCAUACUACUAAGUCUCUAGUACGUGCCACUCUUGGCAUGUGCACACGAGCAUUUUGUUAAGUCUCCAGUGUAUGACACUCACAACGAGUGACAUACAUGCAAGAACGUAUUACCAUCAUGACUCCAGCAUGUGUCACCCACGUCGAGUGACAUAUAUGCAUGAGCAUAUCACCACGUCUUCAGUGCUGUCACCCACGACGAGUGACAUGUAUGCAAGAACACAGUGCUCAAAACCUAGGAUGAACUAUUCCCUGGUCAAUCCUCUAAAGGGCUCGCAAAACUCAAGGUACGCCCCUGGCGAGUCCCAUUGAUUCACACCAUCACGUCUCCAGUACCUGCCACUUUGUAAGAGGCACGUAUACAAGAGCAAGUCGGUACGUCUCUAAUACAUGUCACCCACGGCGAGUGCCAUGUAUGCAAGAGCACAACACUUACGUUGCACGCAAGACUCGUCAUCGUCAAACCCAAGGUCUGGCCUUGGUACAUACUUAUACUAAACUCGAGGCAUCUCCUUGGUUCGCUCACAUACAACAACUAUGACGACCACCGUCAAGAGUCCAAGUUCCACCAAGCGAACUACCACCCCAUUAUUCGGCAAGACUUUUAAUUAAAUCAAAGCCACACUUACUCCUCAUAACCAUCAGGGGAGUACUUCUACAGGUCAAGACGACACACCACCCGAUUGCAUGACAAGGCCUUCAAUCAGGUGCAACUCACACUUACUCCCCAUAAUCAUCAGAGGAGGAACUCAACAGGUCAAGCGGCCUAUCCCCACUGGUUAGCCAAGAUCUUCAACUAGGGGCAAGUCAAGUACAACUCCUCACAACCAUCAAGGGAGAAGCUCCACAAAACAGAAGGAAGACCCAUCAGACGGGUGACAAGACCUUUAACCAAGUUAAAAUCAAACCUCAAAUGACUUCACGUCACUUUACUCUUUACAAGACCACCACGGUCCUACCUCUACGUCAACAAAGUCUUUCUUCCUAUGUUGGCUACAUCAUGACGACCUAUUCAUACUGCUACAAGUAUAGAGUGUUGCAAAGACAAAGGCAAUAUACAUACACACAAGACAACACAGUUCAAAAUUCGUCAUCAAAGGAAAGCUUGUGCAUUGAAUAAAAUGAAAAAUAAUUGCCAUAGUUACAAGGCUUAUGUGGCAUAAUUCCAACAAAGAAGAAAAAAGAUAAAGACAAAGGCAACAUAGACACAGGCAUCAUCGCCUUGCUCCACAGCACCCUGCCUUUCAUCAGCAGCCUCCUCCUCCGAAUCAAUCUCCUUUUCAUCAAGCAGGAGACCCUCCUUCACAUCUUGAAGGGAUUGAUGAGAUCUAAGUCAAGGUCCUUCGCAAAGAAAUCAGCCUACUUGACAGCCUUCUGAAAGCCUUUUUCAUGUUGCUCCACGACCUUCUUAUACAAAAUCAACUCUUCCUCUAACUCCUUGCUAGCCUCAAUUUCCUUGGCAGCCCGCAGCUCGGACUCCUUCAAUCUAGACUCUGACUCCCUCAGCCAAGCCUCUAACUUAGCAAUCCUCUUGGCAAGCCUGUCCUUCUCAGCCACCAUGCUCUCCACCCUACCACACAUGUCCAUCUUCUCAGUCUGUAAGUUCUUGCAACAUCUAAACAGGUCAUCACCAUCUAACCGGGUGUGCAACAACUUAGUCAGUGCACCACCAACCUUGGAAGAUAGUUGGUGAUUUUCCCUUACGACCUCAGUAAAAGCGACAAUGGCAUUGGCCACCUUAGGGAGCUCCACUCGCCAUAGAGUCUGAGCAAUAGCCCUCCACUUGGAGACCUCUGCCUCCAAGGAUGAAAUCUUUUGCACUGCCUCUUGGUGCUGCAGUAUAUUCUCCUCCAAAAUUGUCAAACUCCUUUGGAGAAACAUCUUGACAGAGUCAGUAGCAUUCUGCACCCCAACUGACCUGAUGAGAUUUUUCUCGAAGGUUGACACAAAGCCAAUCAGGGUCUUCUGCUCUGACUUGUAAGUGGCACCCCAUAGUAACUCAACAUCACUGAAGGUGUAUAAAUGAUCGAGGGACACACAAGGGUGCGAGGACGAAGAAGGCAACGCCAUAGCCUCCAAAAUAGCAACAGGGAGGGCCACCAAAGAAGGGGACAGUACCGUGGGAGCACCAGUGGUCACCACACUAACACUUAGUAAAAGGGAUGCAACGGUGGACGAUGACACCACAACAGACUCAACCAGAGUGGCUAACACAACAUCUUCAACAUCAGCAAGAGUAACCUCCUGAAUAAUAGUAGUAGGAGAAGGUGAAUGCACAGGCGUAGCAGGAGUUGCAGCAGCAGCAGCAACAACAACAAGAGCCUUAACUUCCAAUGGAGCUGGAGGCAUAUCUUGUCUAGUCGUGAGGUGACCUGUAGUGAGCCCUAUGAACCUCAAGGCAUGGAGGCUCAUAGGGGUUCUCGACUUCUUGCAUCCAAACGACCCAACGAUAUCAUCCCUCUUUCUCUUUGCAAAAAUAGAGGAAUGAACAUUGGGGGUGACCUCAACAGCAAUAGCAAUAAGGUCAAUCUCACUAGCAAGUUGACCCCUUUCUCCAACAGACAGAGUAGCAGCAAACAGUGGCAUAGUUCCACCUUCAGGUCUGACCUGCUUCACGAGUGGUCUCCAAGAGAAGUCACCCAUAAUACCUGCAAAACAACCAAGACAAUAACACAAACACGUGUUAGACAUUGGCCGACACCAACCUCAAACAACAAACAAGGAUAAGGUUCGACACUUAUCAUCCAAGGUAGCGAGAGGAUCGCUCGCUAAAAAAAGAGACAAGAUGUCCUACACAUUCAGCAAAGUCGACAGUUACUCCAAAAUUGCUUUGCCGACCCACUUUCUAAGGCUCAACAGAUCCUCGUCAUUUGACUUGAACCUGGUGGGAUCAGACUGCCGGUAGAACGAGAAGUAGGGCUCCUCACCCCAAUUAAACAUCAAUGGCUUUCCAUUAGUCAUAACAUCAGUAGCCAAGACCUUAAAGAAUAAGAAGACCGACAUACUAGGCCGAACAUUGAAGAAAGGACACAAAAUUUCAAAAGCCUACACCAUCGCUCAAUUGUUCGAGUAAAGCUGGGAAAAAGCCACAUUCAAGUGCUCCAGUAGAGCACACUGAAAAGCGAUUAAGGAUAAAAUGACACCCAGGACCUCAAACAAACAUCUAUACAUUAAAAAGAAGGGUGAAGACUAUGCGCUUCCCUCGAGAAUGGGAAGUCAUCACUCCCGCAAGUCUGAACGACCAACUUACAGGAGUCCUCAGGGUUCGCCAGCUUCACUUGACGUUGAAGCGCAGUGACACUCGCUAUCAAGGAUAGACAAGACUUAUAUUUCAGCACAUUGUCCUUAUCCCACUCAUAUCCAGCAACGGCCGGGGUGGACGACGACGACCCAACACUCAUACUAAGUCAUACACGGGGAGACAACCUCACAUCUCUACCACCACUAGCUCUUUUCACACCCCCGAAAGCAGAAGGGGGGAGGAUUAUAGUAACCAGGACUGGUUCCCCGGCAACAACAGAAGAUCGUGCCUUUUCGCGAGGGCGAGAAAUGCCUCCACCAGUUUGACGCGAGGUCCUUACCUUCUAUGAACAUGAGGACUCGCUAUCAGAGGCACCUCGACGAGUAUCCUUAGACGAGGAACCGCCUAUCAAGAUGACCUCUCAAUCCAUGAUGGGUUGCUCAGUCGAGUCCCUAGAAUCACUGCCACCUAGCCAAAUGGCGAAAUUAGACAGAAAAAAAGCAUUUGUGGUGGACAGAACUACCUUUGGAAGUUGGUGGAAGAGAAAAAGGAAAUUGAAAGCCAGAAAGAAAGAGAGCAACCAAGGAAGCAAGAAGACAAUGAAAAAUGACCUGAAAUUAAAUGUCCACUCCAUUUAUAGAGGAGAUGGAAUUUUCAGUAAUUGGAGGGAGCUACAGAGAUGCCCUAAAAUUUCAUCCCAUAAUGUUUCCCCUCUCACACAUGACCGUUACUCCAGUACGUGCCCAUUCUGCGUGUGACACAUAUGCAAGAGUACUGCGUGUGUGCCGCACGUGCUUGUUACAACAGAUAACAGUUACGUGUUAUCUUCAAUGCACUCUCGAACAGUAAAAAAAAGGGCAGAAUUGUCAAAUCCAACGACUUACCUUACCUGACACGCUGAAGACACGUCCAUCACAGACUACUUGACAAAAGCAACCCGGACAUCACAUGUCUAGGCUUGGGGGCUUGACAAACUCGUCACCCUCUGCCUUUCAAGAUUACUACCCCAGACAUCAAACAGACUCCCUCAACGCAUGAUAAUCUACUUUGACAUUGGACAACCUCUUUUGCCUGCAAGCUGGCUCAGAGCUUGGGGGGCUUAUGUACUGUCCAAGGCCAAUAAAAUCUAUGUGGCACCCUACUUGGAACUUAGAGACACGUGUUGACCCUCUACGUCAGCCCUGCUAUAAGAGCGCAAACACCUGACCCUUAGCAGUCAGACUCCCCAACAAACAAAUUAUCUCUAACCUAAUUGAUAUUCAAAUGUGUUUGAAUAUUUUAUCUAUUGGCAGGUAUUAAAUUAUCUUUAAUGCCACAUUAUCUACAAGGUAUGAUUAUCUUCUACCUUUAUCUAUAAUUCAAAUGUUUAUAUCUAACAUUAUCUAUAAGUCCUCGGCUACUACUAUAGAUACAGGUCCUAUCGAACCACUCUACAUGACUUACUCACACACUCAGCACACGACAACAAGCUUGUGCCUUUCUCUCUUUCUCUCUUUUGCUCAUACAAGCUCCAUUACAACAUAUAGUUGUUUUACUUUCCUCACACAUAUUUUUACUUGAGCGUCAGAGUCCUUUGUUUUGCAGGUCCUCAUCCUGUCAAAGGCACUUCUCUAAGCCGAUGUGUGAAGUUUGAGACCCCACUCAGCCAUGUUCACCCUGACGUGCCACAGUUCUAGAUUUUGGUAAGAAAAUUUUCAAAAUAUGUUUUCAUCUAUUUUUAGAUGGCACUUUUUAUAAGUGAUCUAUGAUGCACCACAUUUUAUAAUCCUCAAAUUCAUUUCAAGCUUAUGUUAUUACCAUAAACCCUCAACACAUGAUUAUUUCCUAAUCCUGUUAUUUACCUUUAUGUUGUUUACAAUUUUGUCACCGAUGAACCCUUCGUCAUCGUUGACUACACCCCAUCGUCCUCCUCAACAUCACUGCUGACACAUCAUUUGCCUUCUGUUGUCGAAAUAACAUGUCCCAAACUCCUUCACCAUCGCCACAUAAUCUGAGCAAAUGUUCAACUCUGCUACCUCAAAAUCCGACAUUGCAACCACACCUUCUUCAUACACACUCACUUUGAAAAUGAUGUUGUCUUUCUAUGGCAAAAUCAUCAUACGAAAAAUGGAACCACCGAGUUUAAAAGACCUAUUCACAACAAAUCUUAAUGUUAGCCGUGUGCAAUUCUUCAUCUUCAUAUCUAAGAGUUUAUUUUCUUAUUUGAUUGAAAUUUCUUACUUUCAUUCAAAAAAAUCAUAGAUUUUCAUUUUCAAAUCCAUUCCCAAGUGCAUGCAUUGAUUUGGCUCAAUGACUGUUUUGUUUGAUUUUGUGUUAUAGAUUUGUGGUGUGUUAUGUUUUGUUUCCUUCUAAUUAUUUAUUGGUGGAAAGAAAAAAAUUGUUGACUUUUCUAGGUUGUUUCCGAAUUUGUGGCUUGUUUAGCCGAUGUGUGGAUGCAAUUUGUUUUGGGAAAAUUUUAAUUAGGUUGAGUUUCAGUGGUGUGUUGAAUGUGGCUGCAUUUUUUGUGUAAUGUGUGUUGCGGUAGAGCGAGAAGAGAUGAUGGAUCAUGGACCGAGGUUGGAAGCCAAUGAGAGUGUAGAAUGGAUGCCAUGGCCGGGGGGAAUAAUGUGGUGUGGAGGGUGCACUAUAAUGAUGUGGAGCGAAGAUUAAUCCAAAUGUUACAAAUUGUGGUGCAUAAUGGACCACUUAUGAUAGUGAUCCACGGUAGAAGCCGUCCUAUUUUUAAGGUCAAGAAAUUAGAAUUCUCAAUUUGGAUUUUAAUUUUAAAAAACACUUUUCCUACAUUUGAUAAUGAUUCUUUCUCACUAUCACCAAUAUUGGUGUUACCACAACCACCACCUCCAUUUCUAUUGGCACCAUCGUCAUUAUCAUUGUCGUUGCUACCAACACUACUAUCACCAACAUCGUCACCACCACAACCAAUACUAACAUUGUGGUCCUUAUCACCUAUAUUGUUAUCACUACUAUCAUCAUUGUCACUAUUACUAUCACCAUUGAAAUCAAAGUUGCCACCACUGAUAUUAUUGUAACUAGAGUUGUCAAUAUAGGUGAACCAACAUAGCUUGUCAGGACAAGCAUGAAAAAUAGACUGAUUUGGCUCAACUCGUAUUUUACAUGGGUUGCACUUUUUGUGUCUCGGCAUAGCACAUUAACCUAUUGGGUCGACCCAAAUUGGCCAUUUUGCUUUUUCUUUAUAUAUAUAUAAUCAUUAUCAAGCCAAAACAUACUCGAUUGCCUCAUUUCUAUUUUUGUCACAUUUUUUGUUUAGCUUGAAUAAAAUUGAGUUCGAGUUAAAAAAAUUAUCAUAUUAAACUUGAGUUAAGUUUUGAGUCAUAUAAACUCUUGUUGAUUAAAGAUGAAUCAAGUUCAACUUGAAUCAUUUCCAACUUUAAUAACUAUUCACCACACACGAUAGGAUUUAGGAGAAAGGUAUAUGUUCCUAGACUUGUAAUCCUUUAGGGAGGAAUAAUUUACUAUGUAGGAAACCAACAAGGCAAUAUUUGUGAUAUAGGUAAAUUUGAGGCUUUUACAUACUUAGCAUAGAAAAUGUCUUACAUGUUAACGGAAUGAAAUUCAUUAUGCUUAGCAUACAUCAAUUUUGUGAUAAUAGAUUAACAAGGCCCCCCCUAGUUUUUUCGCCUACAAAAUUAAGAAGCAUAAAUUAAUGAUCAAUUAUAUAUACCGUGGUUGUAUUCCUGUUCAAUCAAACAUAAAUUUAAUGAGAGACAAAGAUUCGUGCUUAACAUACAUUUCAAAGUGUAAUCAACUUAAACCAAAUCCACACUUGAGGUUGUAUUCCAAAGAGUUCUUUACCUCACCACCCACCAUUUUCACUCGAGGGAUAAAUAUCACAAUUCCUUCCUUCAUAGAGUAGAAUAGAGAUAUGAAAAACAAAGAGAAAAAAGAAAGUGACGUUCCGUGGGAUUGGUGGUACCAAUGGCGUACUGUAUUGCUGCAUGGUUUGUGGUGGGGUUCACUGUUGGGGACUGUGUGAGUGAGGGAUUUUGCAUUUUCGAGAAGAGAGUGGGACAAAACUUUUUUUUAUAUUUGUUUUGGUGACUGCGAGAAGUAGGAAUUAGAAAUAAACAUAGCACGCGCGGAAAGUUAGGGGAUAUUGGCCCGACAUGUACACGAGGGCACAAAAAGUGACACGCGGAGUACAGUUGUUAGACGUUGAUUGAGUCCAAAGGAAAAUGUGCUGGGGACCUAUAUCCAUUCAUCAUAUUUUUACAUUUCUGAAACUACCCAUUCACUUAUCCCUUGGUUCUGUUGUUCACUGUUGAGGUUGAGGGUGGUCAAGCCAACCUUUGAUAAUACCACCCCACCAUGCCAUCCUAUGUAUGUGAGGGUAGUGGGGUGUACUAUACUAUAUACGUGAGUUCAUAUUCUAAUUUUCAUAUCCUAUAAGAUGACCCCAGUGAGUGGAUGAUAAAGUUAAUCAUUCUAAUUUAAUUGGUGGUUUUGAGUUUAAAUGUUAGAUAUAUAAUUAUCUUAAAUACUUUUUUUACAUAAAAUAAUAUAAGAUAUAUAACUGUCUUAAAUAUUUUUUUACAUAAAAUAAUCUUGUAUGAAAUAAUUAAGACAACUGAAAAUGAUUAUUUUAAAAGUAUAGUACUCAUAUUUUCUCAUAUAUUAAUUUUCAUCCUCUAUUUAUCAUUAGUUAAAAUACAAGCAAAAUUAUGAAUCAUUAUUUAAUAAGAAAUACGACCAACUUCAUUUAAUAUUUAUUUUAUUUGUAAGAAUGAUGUCAGAAGUUUAUAAUAACUCACCCUCUUAUUUAAUCAAUUGAGAUAGAUUUGUUUUACAAACUUCAUCUUCCAUCUUCAUUCAAUUUGUCUCAUAAUCAUAUGAAUUUUAGUUACUCAAUUUGUUUCACAGAAUAUGUUACCUCACCUUAAGAGUUUUAAUUUGUUUCAAAAUAUUUAUCACUUCAAAAAAUUAAAAUAUAUUAAAUAUUUUCAAAUGGUAUUUUUGUUUGUUGAUAUUUUUCUCUAAUUCUUUUAACAAGUUUGUUUGAAUUUUUUUUUAAAAAAAAAAUCAUCAAAAUCGUUUCCAUAAUUAAUAUUUUUUAAAAUGUGUAUAUCACUUUAAAAGAUAAAUUAUACGAAAAAGUAAUAAUUGAAAUAAAAACAUAUCCAAAAAAUGUGUUAUUAACAUUCUUAUUUUAAUCCAAAAGCAAGCCACUGCCAAUUACCAUGGGUGAAAAAGAGAUGUACUUGGAAUGCACCACCAACAAACGCGUCACUUUUAGGGGUGAUAAAAUCUAAACGUGGGCAUAAAAAUACUGUAUAAUUAAAUUAAAAAAAUGAUAUAAAUACAACGUGUUGUUGAAUAUGAUCAGUAGCAAUAGACCAUUAAAAAUUUUGCACGACAUGGAAUAUGUCAUGUGUGGGGCCAUGGAGCCAAUUGUUGUAGUGACAGAUUGAGAUUGAGGAAGGGCUUUAUGCGUUGAGUUGAGCGUGGGUAAACUCCACUAAGGAUUUUGUGGAGAAUCCACUCUUAAAUUUGCAUGUCCUAGUUAGUGAGUACUUACUCACUUGUGUAGUGUCCUUAUUCCUUAUGAUGAGAAGCAUGUCUCUUUUGUGUGCCAAAAGAUUCGUUUUGUUUACCUCCUUGUGUUUAAAAGGAGAUACAUAUGAGAUGAGAUGAAAAACGAUUAUGUCUAAUUAUAUUUCUUAAAUAUAUAUCAGAAAUUUAAUCUUCUUCAAAUAUAUCACUAAUUCAUUAAAAAUUUAUUUUUUAAAACAAAUAUUAUAAUAUCUCAAAAGAUAUUUAAUCUCUAAUUUUCGACUAAUAGAUGUCCUAUUUCAAACAAAAAAAGGAGAUACACGAGAGAAGAAAAUAUUGAUGACAAGUGAGACACUUCUUUUUCUUAGUGGUUCUGAAAUUUCAAUUAACUACCUCACGAUUUCAUGCUUGAAGAAUCUCUCAUGUACACAUUUCUGGAAAUAGUGAUCGGAGGGGAGGUGUUACUGGAAUCAACCGAGAAGAUUAUAGUAACGAUGACAGCAACAAGAUAUUAGUUGCUACGUUGGUGGUGAAGACUUUAUCGAGAUAUAUAUAUAGCAAAGAUGAUAAUCCAUAAAAGAGAAAAGUGGUAGUGGGGAGUGCCAGUAGUAACAGACAGAGCGACAAUAGUGAAAUGAAGAUAAAAGUGGUUUAAUAUUUUUUUUUUAAUAAUGAAAGUGGUUUAAUAUAUAUUGAGAUGGUGUAAUUUAAAACUCUUGUUCAGUUUAAACACUAUAAUAAAAUUAUUUUCUAAAGUCAGCGAUUAACUUGUAGAUAAGCCUUAAACUUGUGUUAAAGGAGUUACACAUGCAUUAUUGACCACUAAGUCAUGCUUAGUUGCUUACAUUUAGGUUAUAAUUUAUUACUAUUAUUAUUGUAUUUAAUAAUUGUGUAUAUACAAUUUUUUCAUUAUUAUUAUUAUUAUUCACUUUGAUACUUUUUUAUUAUUUAUGAUAAAAUAUCUACACGUGUUCUCAAAUUUUAUGAGAAAUUUUUUCAGAUAUACGUUUAUGAAAAAUAAAUGUAUAAUUAUUUUUAAAUUAAAAAUUGUUGAAAAUGUUGUGUUUUACCUUUUGAAAUUGGGUUCUUUAACCGUUAUAUAUGAAAAUAAAUAUCAAUUAUUAUAUUACAGGAAUAAUUUUAUUUAUUAUUUUCAAUAAAAUAGCGUACAACAAUUACUAGUUUAGGAUCAACAUCAUAUGGAAUCAAAUAAAAGGUAUUUAGAAUAAUUAAAUUUAAAAAUUGUAUUAAUUAAGUAGUGCAAGAACAAAAGUUUUUAGCACAUGAUAAAUUUGAUCUAUAAAAACAAUAUUUCUCUAGUAUUUAUAAUAAACUAUUAUGCAAUAGUUAUAAAAUCAUUUUUAUAUUCUCUGAGAACAAUUUUGAUUAGUAGUUUAUGGCAAAUAAAUAUGCUAGAGCGCAACUAUUAGUAAAAAGUAACCCCAUUUGAUAAUGGACAUGUAGAGCAAUAAACUGAAGACCUAACAAGUAAAUGUAGUGUCAAAUUUAUUUGUGCAAUUGGCUUGUGUGAUUUAUUGAAGGAGUUCUUUUUUACCCCAUUGUAUUUCCUAACAAGUGAUAUUUUACUCCAAUCAUAUUUCCUAACAAAAUAGACGUAAGUUUUUACCUAUUGUUAUAGAAAAAAAAUAAAUGGUUACCUAUUAGCUUUUUACUAUGAUUUUUUAAUCAUUAUAUACUAAAAUUACUCUCUUUAAUCCAACAUCUUUAAUAAAUAUUGUGUAUUGUACUUUAAAAAAUUAUUGACUAUUAUAUGUUUUAGGAACCAUUUUAAGAACUGUUAACAAAAAAUUUCCAAUAUAAAGAACUAUUUUAUAUUUAUGUUUUUUUAAAAUUAUAAUUAUCUAUCAAUAAGAAAAUUGUCAAUAGCUAAAUAAAUUAUUAUCUAUUUUAUAUUUAGGAAUGGCUUUAUAACCCUUAAUAAGAGAAUUAUAAGCUGUUAAAAAACUACUCACUCCCCCCAAAAUAAUAGGUAUCAUGGAUUAUCUUACACAGACUAAGAAAAAUUAUAAACAACUAAUUAAAAGUGUUAUUCAUUAUUAAUAUUAUAAAGGAAAUAAGUGGAAAAAAGUAAUUAAUAUUAUAUUAAAAAGUUAAAUUGACAGUAAUUAUUUUAAAAUAUUUUUUUUCUUACACGAUAAUUAUAAUGGAACAGAUGGAAAGUAUUAAUUUUUUUAUAUUUUAUAAAUGGUUUUACAAUUAUUGACAAUAUAAAAAUUGUUACCAAUUAUUGUAUUUUUUCUAUUCUUAUUUAUAAGAUUCAAAUUGAAAAUAAUGUUUAUUUCUUUUUAUAAACACAAUAUAUUAUAUUUUUUGUAUUAAUUAUAUUUAGAUUAUAAAUACUCCUAAAUAAAAGAAGAUAUAAAAUAUAUUAACAAAUAAUUAGAAGAUAUAUGAAUAUUAAUCACAAACAUAAUUUUAAAAAAGUUAUAAAUUUAUUGUUAUCAACUAAAUUAAUUAUUUUUUAAAAUUUUAAUCAAUUAGAUAAUUAAAUCUUAUAUACAGUAACAAAAUAACAAAGAAAGUAUGUUGUAAGAAUUAUUUUCAACCCUUGAUAAGAAAAAUGUUUAAGGUAAAAAAAGGUUAAUAGUGAACUUAAUAGUUAAUAUAUAUUUUUACGAUUUUUAAUUUAAUUAAUGGUUCUAAGUCAAAUUAAGAAACGACAAGUGUACUUAAUAAUAAUAAACAUUGCAAAAGCGCUUAGGACGUGAAGUUUAACGAGGGUUCCUUUAAUUUCCUUGUUAAUGUGGGGAGACAAAGAGUGCAACUGUGCCAGGACCUUUCAAGACAAAUCCACAAAACACAAAAGGUGCUGUGGUUUAUUUGAACUUAAUUUGCAAAACAGCCCCUGGAUCAUUUUCAGGAACUUUAUGUGCAAAUUUCUUUUCAGAUGCAACAUACUUUUACACAAUGUCUCCCUAGAGUCAAUGGGUUUAAUCAUUUAUACACAACAGCUUGCGAAAUUACGAUUUCCAUGCCCUUUAUAAUAGCUUUCCAUUAGUCAAACCUUUUCUGAUUUCACUUUCUUUUGAAAUAUCAUUACUAACAUUGUCUACAUACAUUAGAGAUUAAUUGGUGGCGUUAUUUUAUUUUUCCUGGAUGAAGCAUCACAAAUAUCCUCCAACAUAUCAGUUCAAAGAUUUAUUUUGUUUUCUGCUUAUGGUGUGUAAUUAUUAUUGAUCUAAAACAAUUUUAUACACAGAAAAUUAAACAAAAAUUAUCCCAUGAUUCCUUGUGGUGACACUAUUCAUAUUAUGUGUCAUCUUAUAUAGUUUUUUUUUAAAAUUUAAUUUCUCUUAUUCUACAAAUUCUAUCACGAUAUUGAAUUCAAGUUCUAGCAGAUAAGAUCACAUAGUACAUAAGUUUUUUCUUAUACGGAUUUUUUUAGAUAUUAAGAGAGAUAUUAUGUCUAUGUUAUGCAUACACCUAAAUUUGCUUUGCCAAGCCUAGUCAUCCCCAACCAACGGCCAAAGACUACUUUCAUAGUAUUAGAAAUCACUAAAGGAGACAUGAUCUCUUUUAAUAUAAUUUUUAUACAAAUAACCAAGAGGCAACAAAACAAUUAAAAUAUUUUCCAAAAAAAUCUCGUGUGGUGCCUACUGCCUAUUUGUAAUGUAAUAACAAAACAAUUAAAAUAAUAGGCAACAGGCUUUCAGCAAAAGAUCACUUGUAUAUGUAAAGAAGGCAAUUUUAUGAAAGGAUAAUGCUCAGAUAUACUAUACCCUCAGUAUUUAAUAAUGGAUAUAUUAGCUAUCUUAUUGCAAUCAAACUUUUUUCGGUUCUAUCAUGGCAUUCUUUUAAUGCAUCUCACUUGCUUGUCACCACUUUUCCUUUUCCGUUUAAUUUUUUUAUUACAUCCAUUUAAAUAUUUUUCAGUGAAAAUAAGUAUUCAUGCACAAUAUUAGAAAGGGGAUAUUAGAACUAAAAAUGUGAAUUUAAAACAUUAAUGUAAUUGUCAUUAAUUAGACUUUUAGCUUGUACGCAGUACUAAAAUUUUGCCAUAUCAUCCAUCUCCUCGCCUUGACAAUAAAGGCAGAAUCGAAAUUAAUUUAUUUCUUUUGUUAAAAACAAACCCAAAAAAAAAAACCCUCAAAGUACGAUUGAUUGAACAUUUCUACUUACGUAAGACCAAAUAAAUUAUAUUUUGAAUAUAAACUAUAGAAUAUACAUCAGUAUCUACAAAUUGAUAGUUUGACAUUUUUUUUUUUGAAAGGAGAUAGUUUGACAUCUAUCAACAACAACUUAAUUUGAUUAUUUGAGUAUAAUCUUGAUCGUACUUGAAAAUUGAAUGUCAUUGAUUUUCGUAUCUUGGAUGAUGUCAAUAACAUUAUACAUAUCACAUCCAGGUUUAUCUUGUAGCCAAAACCUGAAAUUCAUAUUCAUUAUUUUUUCCCCUUCUUUCCAACUCUCUUUGUCAAGGAAUAUCAAUCUUAUGACCGAAUCAUCCCAAAUUGAUUGAAUAUUUUCAACUGUUAAUUUGUUCAAGUAAAGACAGAUUAGAUUAAAACAUUUCCUUUAAAAAAGAAAAGAAAAGGGAGACAAAUUCCGGCGUGAUAAUAAAUAUAUCAUAAUUUAGAUCUGCUGUUAAGAAAGAUAAUCAGGUUUAUUGAUUAGUGAUUUAGUUUUCUUCAAAUAAGAUUACUGUGUAAUAUAUACUUUUUAAAUAUACAAAAUAUGAAUCAAGUUAAUAUGUAGUUACAAUUCAACAUUAUAUCAAUAAAAUUCAAACUCGUGAUUAUCGAGAGAAAUAAAAAAAAUAAUGAAUAUUAAUUAGAUUAUGUUUAAAUGGUCACAAUAAAAAGAUAAAUUAAUGUACAAGAAAUUUUUAAAUGGUCAUGUGAUCAUUAAUUUUUUAUUUUAAUUUUUUAUUUAUAAUUGUAUAUUCUAGAUUUAUAAUUUUCAUAUCCUUUGAAUGAGAGUUAUUUUCACUAAGAUCUUAUUUAAUAAAAUUAACUGAAAAAUUUGUUAAAAUCUGAAAAGUUAAUUGAUAGUUAAAAGGUGUGAAGUUUUUAUGUUAAUUUUAUAUGUAAAAUAACAUAUCUAAAAAAAGGUAAUAAAAAAUUAAAUAAAAAAUAUUAGAAAAAAAAAACUAGCAUUUUAGUACUUCAAGAAUACCAAAACAAUAAAUUUACGUCAUACAACCAAAUACACAUGUUCAAGAUUAAUAGUUAUUCAAUGAUGAAAGUCACUUAGUUAUGUAUAUUUAUCUUUUAAUCAUAAGUGUUCAAAUAUAAUUUAAUAUUAUAUAUAUUUUUUAUUUUAUCUUUUAAUCAAUAAUUCUUAUGUGAUGCAAAUAAAUCAAGGAAGAUUAACUUAAUUGGUUGAACAUAAAUACGUGAGUUAUUAUAAAUUCUCAUAUAUUAAUCUUCGAUCUUGAAAGAUAAAAAAAAAUCAUUCAAAUAUGAAUCAUAAAUUUAUCCUCUUUGUCUAUUAAUUCAAGGGAUUUACAAGGAAUAUGCUUGAUGUAUUAGUGUAGUGGUAAAUAAAUUUAAAGAAGACAAUAUGCUUUGAACAAUUCAUUUCCUUUUGGACACCAUUGAUGACUUUGUAUCAAAUAUUGAGCAUUGAGCUAUCAGCGGCAAGCGUGCUUGGUGCCUACUGGUUACUGCCUGGUGUGCUGUCUGGCCACUAUGUUUCUUACCUGUCUCCACUGCCCAAUAUUGCUUUUAUUUGAUGCCUCUUUCUCUUUACUUCAUUCUUCAAAAAAAUAAAAAUAAAAAACCAAAAUCACAAAAUGUGUAACGGUUCAAUUUUUUCUAUAUCCAAAAUCUUUUAAAGUUAUCGACGUGAGAACAAUUAAUUUUCAAUUCAGUACAUUAGAUAUGCAUGUAAUCUUUGACCCAAAAACAAAACAAAAAAUCACAAAAUGCGCAUGACACCACCAACAUACGGGGACAAACUCAUUGUCUAAAUUCUUGCUUUCACUGUGAUGGCUUCUGUUGCAUGCCCUUAGUGCUCCUCGGUGCUCCCAAAGUAAUUUUACAUGUUUCAUGUUUCAUGUUUCCUUUUAUUUUACUUUUUUAAAAAAUUGUUAUCUUAUUGAGUUGUUGAUUUUGAGUGACACGCCGUCAAUUUGUCUCCACACACACGUGCUGCUAUCUUGAUCUUGAAUGAACUUAGUUUUUCAAUAAUGCAUGCUUAGUACAAAAUUAAGCUUCAUAGACGAAAUUUUGACGAAUGACGCUGCUUUAUAUAAUAAGUUUUUUUUUUUUAAACUCAUUUGGAUGCUGGAUAAAUUAGGUAAAGUCAUGAAUUUGAAUUUUAGCAAAGCAUGUGUUUUAUUUCUUUCGUACAAUUUUUGUGACAUUUGAGACUAUCACUUUUUUGUUAUGUACAUGCAUUGUGAAAUAGAAAAUGGCAAUAGUCAGUGGUCUUACAGCUACUUGACAUUUGACAUUGCAUACAUAAUAAAUACCUUAUAUUAUUCAUUAUAUAGCNNNNNNNNNNNNNNNNNNNNNNNNNNNNNNNNNNNNNNNNNNNNNNNNNNNNNNNNNNNNNNNNNNNNNNNNNNNNNNNNNNNNNNNNNNNNNNNNNNNNUUAGUUACACUAAUUUGUUUUUUUUUUUGUCAGUGGCAUUAAUUAGUUUUAUAUAAAUUGACAAGUAUUUCACACGUUUUUCAAUUUUUUAAAUUUAAAAAUGAUUUAAAUUAUAAAUAAAACAUGUAUAAUUAUUAAUAAUUCAUAGUCUUGAUAUUGAAAGAAAAAAUUAACAUCAUAACAAAAUUAUGUUAUUACUUUAAAAUUCUAAAAUUCAUUGGAAUUCUAAAAAUGACAUGUUAUUUGUUGAGAGACAAUAAAUUAAAAAGAAAGUCAUUUUUAAAAACUACUCUAAUUCAAUAUAGUUAUAUUGAUAAAAACAAAUCUUAUCAUUUUUAGAACCGAUUUAAGUAAGUGAGAUCUAAAAUAAAUUUAAGAUUUUUUUAUUUUAAAUGAAAGAAUUAUAUGUUGAGUUUUUUUUUUUAUUCAUGUGUGAUUUUUUUGCUCUAUACAAAAUAAUAACAUAUAAUAUUUUGUUAAUGAAAUUAAAGCUUGAAUUUUAAUAUUAUCCUUAUCAUUAGAUCAACCCUAAUCAUUUUAUUAGUAAAUAUAAAAUCACAUUCCAUCUUCAUUUUACACGUAGUUCCUUCCAUGUACAUGCACAUGCGAUGCUUUCUGAUGCAUUAGGGGACGAGACUAGAGGAAUGACAGGUUCCUUCGUAUGUAUAGUUCUUGUUUGCCGAUAAAAGAAUGUAUAAUUCUCAUUUUCUGUCUUUCUUUUUUGCUUUCUUAUCGUCAUGUAAAGAAAAAAAAAUCAUCUUUAAAAGAAAAUAAUAUGUAUGACAAUACUCACAUCUUUUAAGGAGGGUGUAAUCCACUAAAAAAAUGUUUAUUGCUUAUUACACAACCAGCGUAGAUAAAUUAAAAUUAAUGAUUAAUCAAUGUGACUUUUGAUGUAAUGUCAAACUUGAUAAGAUUUAAUUUAAUCCAAAAAAAUAGUGUUGGUCAAGUAUGGCAUGUUGAAUAAAUGUUAAAUCACAUUAGGGUUUUAGCUAUGCCAAUUACCCAAAUUAGAGGGUGCAAUCUGAAGGAGUGAAUCGGGACUGAGAUGUUUGUAAGUUGUUGGUCCGGACACUACAUGAUCUAAAAAGAAAAUAUUGAUAAGAUUUAGAUUUAGAUUUUGCUAUACCUAGCUUUCCUCAGAUACCAAGCGUCACAAAUUUCCUUAAUGCAAGAUAUACUCACUGUGAGUGACCUCACCAUCACCCCUCUUACUUUUGUUCUCUUUUCUUUAUUGUGGUUGUGGGAAAUUUAUCCAUGAAAAAUAGAAAUUGGCUUUCCAUGACGACUUGGAUGAAGUGCUUGAUGUCAACUUUGAUAAGGUCUAUUCCAUUACAGAGGUCUCCUCGGACACCAAAUAAUCACUAUGUUUGGUCUCUAAUUGGUCACUGUUUCUAAUAAAUAUAUAAAAGUGACCAAAAACAAAGAAUUUGGCCUUCCAUGACAUGGACCAUCGCAUUUUUUCAUUCCAUUGAUUUUAUAGUGCCGCCCAGCCGAAUAAUGCAAUUUGCAAUUUGCAAUUAAUUAAUAAUUAAACUCUUCAAAUUAAAUAGUUAUGAUGACCGUUAACGCGUGCUGCUUUGAACUAGAAAGAGAAGAAUGCUAGCAUAGCAUCUACAAAAUAAAUGAAGAACACACUAGAUGUAUUCAAGAGCAUAAUUGGGACCGAAAAUGAUUAGGGAAUGAACCAUGCACCUUUCAAUUGCCGUCCUUACAGACAUUGCAUCUUAAACAAGUGCCCACUAAUUUCUUCAUAUAAAUAAUUUGAAAAAAAAAAUAGUGGCAAUAUUCAAACACAUAUUUUAAUCUGUUUAUGCAAAUCUGUUUUAGGUUAUAAAUUGCUUGCCGUGCCGUCCUUACUUAAAAACCCUUAAUUUUAAUGUCUCAAUCAGAUAAUCUGGUUAUUCAUGUGAUGCAAAAUGGUUCCCAUCCUACAGCUAUGCAACAAAAACAAAGAUCUGUGUCGAGGAAAGAUUGUAAGCCAUUAUUGUACUAUAUCGGUCGAUUUUGUUAUUCUUAUAUUGUACAGCUUUAGAGUGUACCAAUUAUCAAGCAUUAAACUCUAUCCUAGCAUCAAUUCGAUCAAAUACACUUAGACUUAGAUUUCGCUUCACAUGCAGGAGAAAUUAUUAUAUAUAAUAUGAGAUUAUGUGUUUAUAAUUUCGUUUAAAUUCAUAUGGCUAUUUUUUUUAUGACUGCUCAUAUAGUUAAAUUUUAUAGACUCUUUUAAAGUAUUAUUUGUUUUAACUAUAUAUGUAUUGCAUGGAAAUUAACUAAGACUACAUAUGAAAACAUUUAUAAUAAUUUUUCAGACACAUAAGUUAUGAAGAGCAAACCGUACUAUAUAUUGUGUCUAACUGUCUUCUCUCUCUCUUCCUCAUUAACAAUCUGAGGAUUUGUGAGAGAACAAAAUUUAGAAAUAGUUUAUUAAAGUGAUUUUCUUAACGUUUUAAAACUUAGAGUGGUAAUUGAUCAUCUGAUAAAACCCUAGUUCACAGUUGAUUAAUUCAACAGUAAUUAAACUGGGACCGAAUGGCUAGUGAUUAAAUUUUUAUUGUUAAUAUUAUAAUAUUUUAAAUAAUAGAAAACAUAAAAGUAAAAGAAAUUAAGAUAUAAAAUUAUAAAUUAAAAUAAAUAACUAGUUUAUAAGAUAAAAAAACUAAUGACAUUGGAUAAAAUAAUUUAUACAUAUGUAAUUAUGUAUAAUUCUUAAAUACAAAUUUUUAUUUAUAUUAAUUUUUUUUUACUAAAUUAAAAAUAUAUAAUUUAAAAAAAAAAUCAGUUCAAACUAGUUUUUUUCGUCAAUUUUUUAUUAGUUUGAUGGGUUAUUUGCUGGUUCUCAUUAGUUUUAAGAUGACUUAGUUAUUUUGAAAUAACUAAACUGAUCACUAUAGCGAUUCUUAAUUGGAUCGGUCAAAUAUGCUAAGUUAAAAAUAUGGCAUAACUUUUAAAACGAUAGUGCUUUGUAUUAUUUUCUAUCAGAAGUGAACCUUCACCUAAAUAAUUUAUGUAAUCAAAUUAUAUAUCUAGAUAAAAUUUUAAAUUUAAUUUUAAUUAGACAAGAAUACCAAAACACUAAAACACUUUUAAAGAACUGUCCAAGUUAAUUUCGUUAGGUACAACGCCAAUUCAACGAAAUGAUUAAUUGGACAGUUACAGCUAAACUGUAAGAGCAAAUUCUGUUCUUCAAUGGAUAUUUUCUAACCGUAAAGCGCAGAUUAUGACUGCAAGUCAACGACAUUUGUUUAAGCUAAUGUUUUUAUGUUCAAUUUCAGCUACAACAAGUUCCUACUUAAUUGAUAAGCAAUAUAUUAAUUAAACAAAUUUCUAAAUUUUUAUACUAUACAUCCUUUUAAUACUUCUCAUGAUUACUAAGUCAAGAAAAUAGAAAAUAUGUUAUACAUUUUUAAAAUAUCAAAAAUUAAUACAUAUUGUAUUUAAUAUUCAUAUAUAAAAUAAUUUUAGAAAAAUUAUAAAGAGGAUUAUUUAACGUUACUUGAGUAUUCUCUUUGGACAAAUCUCAUUUUAAAAAUUAUUAAAAGCACACGCAGUAGGAAAGCAAAAAACAACAUUUGUCGUAUUCUUAAAUAACGUUAUUUAUAUCAUUAAUUCUUACGCUAUCAUUUUAGGUACAUAACAAAAUCAAAAAACACAUUUCAACACAAUAUAUUUUGAUUAUGUUCAAACAAAAAAAAUGAUUUAGGUUUUUUUUUUUUUACAAGAAUGAUGUAGAAAUAUUAACAUGCAAAUAAAAGUGCCUAUGAUUUAUUUAAUUCUAGACAGCACUUCCAAUAUCAGUAUAUAUGAAAGAAUAAAUAAACCAAAUGAUGAUAUGAGUUUAGAAGUAAAGAAUCUGAAAACCAUCAUUAUCGAAAGGAUAAAGCGCAAUAACAGUAUUUAGGAGCGAUGAACACGCAUGUCAAAAGCAGAACUUGUGUUAUUGCUAUUAUUAAAAAAAAAAUGCGACGGCCAUAUUCAUAGGAACAAAGAGAAGCUUGAAUUGAAGAAUGUUAAUUAGGGACUGAUUGAUUUGGACUUCUUUCAUGUGGGCGUCGGCAUGCUAAUUAAUUUCAAAUUCAUGAAUACUCAUCUGAAUUUAAGUUGAAAUUGAACCAAAAAACUAGUUUUGGUUUAGUUUAGAUUUAAAUUUACUUCUUUUGUUUAUUUGUAAAAGUGGAGAUAAGUUGAACUUAUUUGAAAAUGCAAAGAAUAUUUUAAUAUUAAAAAAUUAUUAUGAGAAUAAAUUUUUCUUAUAUUUAGUAUAGGAGAAUAAACUAUUUUUUGAAAAUAAAAUAAAAAUUAAUUUUUAUGUACUAUUAAUAUAUUAUUUUCCAUUGUAUACUAACAAAAAGCCAUUUUAAGUAAUUUUUACAGUAACUAUAAAAUUAAUAAACUUAUCAUACAUGAUCAUUCUUAUUGGAUAAUAGUAUUUUUUUUUGCAAUAUUAGUAUAUUCUAAAUAAAUUCAAUUAUAUAUUCUAAGAAAUGUUAAUUUUUGGUUACGGUUAUUUGGAACUAAAAUUUAAAAAAUGGAUAUAAAAACAUUGUUAGAAAUUACUUUCCCAUGAAAUAUGCAAACUAAAAUACUAGUUAAUAUAUACUUAUUAAAUUUUCUCAUAGCAAGUGAUAGUAAAUAUAUUAUUCUUAACAAAAUUUAAUAAUAAACAAACUCAUCUUUUAAUUUUAUUUCUAGAAAAUCUCCUUCUCAAAAUAUAUUAUUAAUUUUUUUACUAAAUGCCACCUUAGGAAUGUAAUUAUCUAUCCCAUAAUCUUAAAAUUAUUUAUACACCAUUAUUUUCUAUAUUUUUAAAAACAAUAAUUAAAUAAUUUAAAUUAGUAUAAUUAAAUAAUAAACUAAAAGCACACAUACGAUUACCAACAUAAUUUAAUUACCAAGUUUUCUAAUUUUUAAAACUCUAAUUAUCAAUCAUUUUUCAUAUAUUAUUUAAACAAAAAAAUAUAGUCAAUACAUAAUUAAAAUAAAGGAGGGAGUGAAAUAGGUUCCUCACUAAUUUCUUCAACCUCUUGAAAGAUUAGUUAACUUUAAAUAUUUUAAGAGCACAUUUCUUUCAAUUCCGAUUUUAAACUCAUUCCGUCAUUAGUGGGAGUAGAGUAAAUAAAACUUAACUAGUUAAUUAUCAUGACUAUCUAGACUCCUUGUGGCAUUGUUCUUUUUUUCGGUGACCGCUGAUGGCGGAGUGUGAAAAUAAUGAGUAAAAGUCAGAAAACAUUUUGACAUACAAACAAUAAAAGGAAGGAAGGAAAGCAUACCUGUCUUAACCAUAUGAACUGGAAGUCACUCACAAGUCAUAACCAACUUUGGUGCAGAUACACAACCAUGAUUAGUUACUUAUAUGUAAAUUACAGAAAAAAGAGAGAAAUUUGAAAUAUAAUAAAUGAUGUUAUGAAAAGAGAUAAAUAUAUAAAAUGAUAUUGUUGUAUGUGUAUUAUAAUAUCACAUAUGUAAAUGUAAUUUUUUUAAAAUUAUCAACCAAUAAGGCCCAACAUAAUUGAUAAACAGUUAGGUUUUUUAUACACGUUAUCAAAGGUUCGAUUUCUAGUUAUAUGUAUGAAGAUUUUGUUGGAAAAACCAAAGUCCACCUAAAUGAUUUCUAUGCCUGAAAUAGUUUCUAACUAUUGAUUUUGUGAUAAAUAUCUUCGAUGUAAAUGAAAAUAGAGAGGGAGAUACUAUUAACCUAUGAAGCACGGAUACCCUAGUCUUUUGUCGUAUUUGGUGUUCAAUACGCGUUCGAGUCAGUGUCUGACACCGACAUGACACCCGUACUACGUUUUAUAUUUUGAAUAUUACAGGUAUCCACAUAUUCAUGUCUGUAUCGUGUCUGGUGUUCAUGUCGGUAUCGGUGCUUCAUAGCUAUUAACACUACCAAUUGUGCUAUUGACACUACGAAUUGAGAUGAGACUAUCUUUUACCCACUCACCAAAUCCUUACACCUCCUGACCCUAGCCUAACUGUGAACCAAACAGCGACGCACUCUUCAUAGUCGAGAUUGAACCAAAUUGUGCCACAUCACCAUUCCCUUCAAGAUCCGAUAGCAUAGUCUCUCGCGCAACCCCACCAGGGGUGAUACAAAUUUGAAGAUCUUGGCCAGAACGACGUCGUCAAAUCUUAGCAUAACCUCAUUCCAAAAAUAGACUUUCCAUAAUGCAAUUGAAAGUCCAGGAAGCACUAGGAACGAAUUGGGUUUUCCAUAAUGCAAUCAGAAGUGCAGAAAGAAAUAGUGGAAAUGCAAGAAGCAACAACCCAAUAUAAGGUUCGGAUGUGGAUUCUGGAUCGAAGGCAUAGGGCCCAGUUGUUGUUUUCGUCCUAAUUGGACCUUAAAUUUUUUUGGGGCCAGUCCGGAACAUAUACGAAAGUUUCACUUUUGGAUUACUUUUAUUUGAAAUUAAAUUUAUAGCUGGUAAAAAAAAAUAUAGAUUUGACAAAAUAAACCUAUAAUUAUAAAUCUACAUGAGAAAUCAUUUUUAUUUUUACUUUUCAAAUGGUUCUAUAUUUCAAGUUUAGUUUUGCCACGAAUGCAAGGGCAAGAAUAAGUCAGAUAGCAUGUUAAAAUUGAUUGCCUAUUGUGACUAUAUAUGCAUUAAAAGGGGCUUUCUCAUGUGAAUGAAAAAACUAAAUUAUUUACGAUUUUAAAAAGUCACAUGACUUAAAUUUUGAUUAUUUAUGGAUGAAUAAUUGUAUGAUCCAAAUUUACUCUUCUCUCAUUCAUUUUCAUAUAAAAAAAAUACUCUCACUAGAUAUAUUCCUACUAUAUAUAUUCCUUUCAACUUAUUUUAUUUUGAAAUGGGUCGAGUAUAGUUUUUUUUACAGGGGGUUCCACCCACAGUUAGAACUACUCAGACUUAAAUUAGAGUUUAUGAUUAAAAAAAAGAGUAAAUAGUCACUUUUAUCCUUCAAUAUGUAAGUCGCUAACAAAUAUAUCACUGAAAAAUGCAAAUAUAAAAUUUAGUCUCUGAAAAUAUAAAAAGGUGCUAUAAAUAUAUCUCGCCAUUAAACUUUCAUCCGUCAUCGUUAAUAAAACAAACUACGUGGUACAAAGAGAUAAAUUUGUCACUGAAAUGAUGGCCAGCGUGAAUUGUCAGCAUAGGGACAUAUUUGUCAUAAUAUUUUAUUGACAUUUUGUCUUCCUACUCCACUGACGAAUGUGUCCCUGAAAUAUGAAAAUGCAAAAUUUAGUCCCAAAAGUUUAAAAAAAUGUGACAAAUAUAUCCGAACAUUAAUAAUAAAUUGCAUGAGAGAAAANNNNNNNNNNNNNNNNNNNNNNNNNNNNNNNNNNNNNNNNNNNNNNNNNNNNNNNNNNNNNNNNNNNNNNNNNNNNNNNNNNNNNNNNNNNNNNNNNNNNUUUUUUCCCCUCUUAAAUUAAUACCUCUUAGCAUUAUGAUAAUAAGGUGUCUGAGUGAAACAGUUAAGUUUAUUCGAGGAUUCUUUGAUAUUAAAGGUAUAUAUAUACAUUUAAUGGAUUAAAAAAAUUACUUAUAAUUGUACUUUAGCUUUAUUGGAGUUAAAAUUUUGUGAGACUUUUUUUUUAAAAAAAAUAGUUGAUUAAAUUCUUUUUCCUAAAAUAAAUAAGUAAAUAAAUUUGAUCCCACAACCGAUUGUGUUUUUUCUACCCAAAACUUGUAAUAUAUUAUUUUCAAUAGAAAUAUAAGAAUACUUAAAUUAGAAUUGAGACAUUGAAUAAUUUUAAAGAUUAAAAAUGAGAAAUUUAAUAAAAAUUUGAUAAAAUUAUAAGAAAAUUUUUUUAAUAGCAAAAAUUAAGAUUUGACAAAAAAAUCAAAAUAAUAUAUAUAUAUAUUUAAAAAAUAUAUUACAUAAGUAAUAAACAAAUAGGAACAAUAAAUUACAAACACAUAAUAAUAAUAAUAAUAAUAAUAAUAAUAAUAAUAAUAAUUAGUCACAUUCUAUUAUUAACAAUUUAUAAUAUUUUUUAUACUUUCAGAAACUAAAUUUUACAUUUUUAUUUUUAUUUUAAAGUAAAAAAAUAUUUUGACAAAUAUGCUCAUAUAAAAAAUAUAUUUAUCACACUUUUCACACUUUUAAGACUAAAUUUUAUACUUUCAUCUUUCAGGAACACAUUUAUCAAUAAAUUAGACAUUGAAAUGACUAUUUAUCCUAAAAAAAAUGAGAAGGUUUGGUGUUUACAUUUAGUUUCCUUUUUUUUUUCUACCCACAACAUUAUUCAUGUCCACCCUUACCUUUGCUUCAUGAAGGUGAAACAAGUCAGAGUAUAAUGGGUGCCAUAUUUCCUUCUCAUUUUGGCAUAAUUUGUUGUAAAAAAGAAAUUUCUCAAUAUAAGCAUUUGCCACGAGGGCAAAAUAUAUCUUCCUUCUAUUUACAUUUGAUGAAACUAGAAGGCAAAUUUUCCCAGAUGGGAUCCUUUUAAAAAGUAUUUCCCCAAAUGGGGUGGUUUUGAAAAUUUUUACGUCAAGGGAUUAUUUUUUACGUAAAAUGCAUGGGGCUCUUAGCAAACCGUCAUUGCCAAUGGUGAGUUUGCUGAGCAUCUCCCACGUGGCAAGGAAAACGCCACUCGUGAUGGCGAUUUGAUAGGGCUUGAACUCGCCACCUCUGCUGGCGAUUCUGUGCAUGAUUUUGGAAACCGCUACUUUGACUGACGGGUUGGCUUUGCAGGGGGAGGUUCAGGCGUAGGCUAGGCGGUGCAGCUACAAUGCAGGCUGCAGCAGGUGCAGAAGGACUGGAAAUCGCCAGUCAUGGUGGCGAUUUGGUUGUUAAAAAAUUUUCUGGCCUAUAAAGCAAUGCAGGAGGUGCUCCCUUAGUCUGCUUCGUUUUUUAAUCCCUUCCCUUCACUCUUCACUGCAUUGCUUCUUCCUUCUCCUGCCAUUGUUGUUUGCUUCCAGUGAACUCAUUUUAUUUUCUUGCUACGGGUUUGUGUUAUUGGUAAGUAUGCUGUUAACUGAAUUUUUUUUUGUGUGAUAUAUAUGUUUAAGUAUAAUUGAUAUAUUAAUAUUAAUUGAUAAAUUUUUUAUAUGUUGUAGGUGAAGUUUUUGUUCUUCUUUGGCCUACACUUUUUGGUUGCUUUUCUUAGUACGUAUUUGAGGUAAGUUAAUUUAUUUUUAUCUUGUUUGCUAUAUACUUUUAUGUUAUAUACAUAUAUGUUAAAUUAAUUUUAGUUGAGAUAUUAAUGUUAUUUAGGUUAAAUUUUUGUAAGUUGUAAGUUAUUAGCUGUGUUAUAUAUAUAUGUUAGGUUAGUUUUAGUUAAUUUAUAAAUAUUAUUUUAAGAAUAUUAGUUAGAUUAAUAUACAUAUGUUAAGUUAGUAUUAAUUGUGCUUUAGGUUAGUUUUUGAUAAUAUUAUUUUGUUUAGAUUUUAUAAAUUAGUAUGGUAUUAUUUGUUUUAUAUAUGUGUAGAUUUUGGUUAGUAUAUAUAUAGUACGUUUGUUUAGUUUAGGUGAUAAUUUUAAAUUUUAAGUACUGUCCUAAAAUAAUAAAAUUAUUUGUAUUAUACGUUGUAGUUAAUUUGUUAAUAUGAAUUUGUUUAAGUUUUUUUAAUUGAUAUGUUAUUAUUAUUUGGUUUAGAUUUUUUAGAUUUGUAUGAUAUUAUUUAUGUUAUAUAUAUAGUAUGUUAGGUUUAGUUAGAAUGUUGAUAUUAUUUAGUUUAUUUUUUUUAAUUUUUCUUGGAAUAUAUGAUACUUUGUUAAUAAUAUAUAUAUAUAUAUAUAUAUAUAUAUAUAUAUUGUUUAAAUUUUUGUUUCCAUUGUAUUUUUUGGAUUUUUUUUGGAUUUUUUUAAAUUUAUUUGUGUAAUAUAUGUAAUUUAAUUUAAAUUUUAAUUAUCAAAAAAUAAAUUGGUAAUUUAUUUAAAUUUAUGUAUGUAUUUAAAUUUUUAAUUUUAUUAUUUGUAUAGCAUUUUAGUUAGUAAUUUAGUUAGUAUUUUAUGUUUUUUAUGUAAUUUAAUUUAUAAUUUUGUUAGAAUGUUAAUAUUAUUUAGUUUAUUUAUUUAUUUUUAAUUAUAUAUAUAUAUUGUUUAAAUUUUUGUUUCCAUAAUAUUUUUUGAAUUUAUUUUAAUUUAUUUGUGUAAUAUAUGUAAUUUAUUUAAAUUUAUGUAUGUAUUUAAAUUUUUAAUUUUGUUAUUUGUAUAGUAUUUUAGUUAGUAUUUUAUGUAAUUUAAUUUGUAAUUUUGUUAGAAUGUUAAUAUUAUUCAGUUUAAAGAUUUUUAAUUUUGUAUAGUAUUUUGUUGUUCAAAUUUAUGUAUUUUGUUAUUUAGUGACAUUUUAAUUAAUUUGUUUAAGUCAAAUGCAAUGGCAGUUGCAACUCCCCUUUAUCUGUAAAACCUGCAAUCCUGCAAAAGCAAAACCGCCAGUUUGACUGACGAUUUACUUACCCGUGCCCAGACUCGCCAGCAAAGGUGGCGAGUUCAAGCUGCUAUCAAAUCGCCAUCACGAGCAUUUUCCUUGCCACGUGGGAGUUGCUCAGCAAACUCGUCAUUGACAAUGACGAUUUGCUAAGAGUCCCAUACAGUUUACGUAAAAAACAACCCCUCACGUAAAAUUUUUCAAAACAACCCCAUUUAAAAAAAUACUUUUUAAAAGGACCCCAUCGGGGGAAAUUUGCCAAACUAGAAUGUAUCAUCUUUUAACUAAAUUUUUCCUGUUGUCCUAUAUUUUAAUGUGAAUCAAACAUAAAAACAACUCAUUUGUAACGUCUUGGAUCAUUCUAACCUUUUAGCAAUAGCUAUAAUGGUCGAGUGUUAGACAAUCCAACCACGAUUUCAUUAUUUGAUGUGAACGAGUUGUCAUAUAAAAAAAACUUAAAUAUAUUUUCUGUCCCUAUAAUUUAGGAUUUCUAUUUUUUUUCAUCCCACCUAAAAAAAAUCAUUUUAAUCCCUAAUGUAUUUAUUUGUUUCGAAAACAGUUUAGAUAAUAACCCUUUGAACAAUAAAAAAAUAUCAACUAUAAUAUUUUUAAGACAAAAAACAAAACACAGAUUUUAUACCGAAACAAAAAAAAAAAUGCAAGCUCAAAAAUGUAAAAAACACUAAAUUACUAGAAUGAAAAAUGUAUUUAUACCUAUAAAAAAAAUAUAUUUGAACCCAUAUCAAAAUAAUGGUGGCCUACUUUCAUCAAUACACUUGGCAAGCGUAAGCAUAUUAGUUAACUAGCUAUGAUAAGCUACUUAAAAUACACUCAUGGCCAGAAUAAAAUGGACUGCGUAAACUUAAAAACAAUUUCUCUCAAAUACCGCCAAUUAUUUCAAAGAAACCUAUACAAUUGCUGGUAGUGACAAGUUUAGGACCAAAGGUAGCCACAAAUACGUUAUGCUGAAAUGUGUAUGUGAACAAUGUAUNNNNNNNNNNNNNNNNNNNNNNNNNNNNNNNNNNNNNNNNNNNNNNNNNNNNNNNNNNNNNNNNNNNNNNNNNNNNNNNNNNNNNNNNNNNNNNNNNNNNNNNNNNNNNNNNNNNNNNNNNNNNNNNNNNNNNNNNNNNNNNNNNNNNNNNNNNNNNNNNNNNNNNNNNNNNNNNNNNNNNNNNNNNNNNNNNNNNNNNNNNNNNNNNNNNNNNNNNNNNNNNNNNNNNNNNNNNNNNNNNNNNNNNNNNNNNNNNNNNNNNNNNNNNNNNNNNNNNNNNNNNNNNNNNNNNNNNNNNNNNNNNNNNNNNNNNNNNNNNNNNNNNNNNNNNNNNNNNNNNNNNNNNNNNNNNNNNNNNNNNNNNNNNNNNNNNNNNNNNNNNNNNNNNNNNNNNNNNNNNNNNNNNNNNNNNNNNNNNNNNNNNNNNNNNNNNNNNNNNNNNNNNNNNNNNNNNNNNNNNNNNNNNNNNNNNNNNNNNNNNNNNNNNNNNNNNNNNNNNNNNNNNNNNNNNNNNNNNNNNNNNNNNNNNNNNNNNNNNNNNNNNNNNNNNNNNNNNNNNNNNNNNNNNNNNNNNNNNNNNNNNNNNNNNNNNNNNNNNNNNNNNNNNNNNNNNNNNNNNNNNNNNNNNNNNNNNNNNNNNNNNNNNNNNNNNNNNNNNNNNNNNNNNNNNNNNNNNNNNNNNNNNNNNNNNNNNNNNNNNNNNNNNNNNNNNNNNNNNNNNNNNNNNNNNNNNNNNNNNNNNNNNNNNNNNNNNNNNNNNNNNNNNNNNNNNNNNNNNNNNNNNNNNNNNNNNNNNNNNNNNNNNNNNNNNNNNNNNNNNNNNNNNNNNNNNNNNNNNNNNNNNNNNNNNNNNNNNNNNNNNNNNNNNNNNNNNNNNNNNNNNNNNNNNNNNNNNNNNNNNNNNNNNNNNNNNNNNNNNNNNNNNNNNNNNNNNNNNNNNNNNNNNNNNNNNNNNNNNNNNNNNNNNNNNNNNNNNNNNNNNNNNNNNNNNNNNNNNNNNNNNNNNNNNNNNNNNNNNNNNNNNNNNNNNNNNNNNNNNNNNNNNNNNNNNNNNNNNNNNNNNNNNNNNNNNNNNNNNNNNNNNNNNNNNNNNNNNNNNNNNNNNNNNNNNNNNNNNNNNNNNNNNNNNNNNNNNNNNNNNNNNNNNNNNNNNNNNNNNNNNNNNNNNNNNNNNNNNNNNNNNNNNNNNNNNNNNNNNNNNNNNNNNNNNNNNNNNNNNNNNNNNNNNNNNNNNNNNNNNNNNNNNNNNNNNNNNNNNNNNNNNNNNNNNNNNNNNNNNNNNNNNNNNNNNNNNNNNNNNNNNNNNNNNNNNNNNNNNNNNNNNNNNNNNNNNNNNNNNNNNNNNNNNNNNNNNNNNNNNNNNNNNNNNNNNNNNNNNNNNNNNNNNNNNNNNNNNNNNNNNNNNNNNNNNNNNNNNNNNNNNNNNNNNNNNNNNNNNNNNNNNNNNNNNNNNNNNNNNNNNNNNNNNNNNNNNNNNNNNNNNNNNNNNNNNNNNNNNNNNNNNNNNNNNNNNNNNNNNNNNNNNNNNNNNNNNNNNNNNNNNNNNNNNNNNNNNNNNNNNNNNNNNNNNNNNNNNNNNNNNNNNNNNNNNNNNNNNNNNNNNNNNNNNNNNNNNNNNNNNNNNNNNNNNNNNNNNNNNNNNNNNNNNNNNNNNNNNNNNNNNNNNNNNNNNNNNNNNNNNNNNNNNNNNNNNNNNNNNNNNNNNNNNNNNNNNNNNNNNNNNNNNNNNNNNNNNNNNNNNNNNNNNNNNNNNNNNNNNNNNNNNNNNNNNNNNNNNNNNNNNNNNNNNNNNNNNNNNNNNNNNNNNNNNNNNNNNNNNNNNNNNNNNNNNNNNNNNNNNNNNNNNNNNNNNNNNNNNNNNNNNNNNNNNNNNNNNNNNNNNNNNNNNNNNNNNNNNNNNNNNNNNNNNNNNNNNNNNNNNNNNNNNNNNNNNNNNNNNNNNNNNNNNNNNNNNNNNNNNNNNNNNNNNNNNNNNNNNNNNNGCAGAGAGGAAGCAAGCCCUUCGGCACUAUAUCUUCAUCUAGCAACUUGAAAACGUCAUCCUAGAAAUAUACAUAAGCUAACUUUGUUAUGAAGAAUUGAUAAACUAAAAUUCUUAAACUUCAUCUACUUGACCUGCACAUCCUCUGAAGAAUAUUCAAAUUUAAGACACAUUGACAGAAAUUGACAGAAAACAUAUUAAAAUAUUCUCAAAAUGCUUUACAUAACAUAUUCAACCCUUUUCCUUAAAACAUUUUGCAAUAGCCAAAGAGAUGUAUUUCCUAGAAAUAUUGGUGCAUACCUACUUAAGUAAUGUUGAAAUAUGAUGCACAUAACAAAGAGGAGUGUUAGUAACACUCUUUCUUACACAUUCCUUCUAACAUAUUCUCUGGUAUUGAUUCAAAUUUAUUAUAAAAAAAAACUGCAAAAUCAGUAGUGAGACUUAAUUUGACUAAUUUCUAAUAAAUUUCACUCAAUAAGAGAAAGUAUGUUCAAAAUAGUGUAUUGGUUAGUGCCAUUACCAACAUUUCUCAACAACAAAACUUACAUCUCACUAUUUCUUGCAAAUCUUAACAAGUAUGGUUUGCUAGAGAAACCUUUAUCAAAAAUAGAAGCCCGAACUACAUAUAAAAUUCUCCUAAAUCUUUAGUGGUAAAAAGAGGAAAUGUGUGAAGAAACUACACACAUGCUUGAUAAGAAAAUAAUACAAUGAGAUGUGGGAAUAUAUUCCAAACUCCAAGCACAUUAACAACAACACAAGAAGCCUGACUAACUCCAUCAAAUCUUUAUUCUGAGCAUUAUUUUAACUAUUGAACCCCGCAAGGCUAAUGAAUACAGCCAAGGAGGAUAGCAAUGCUAAUAUGUCAAAAACCAUGUGUAUUGGUUAGUGCCAAUACCAACAUUUCUCAACAACAAAACUUACAUCUCACUAUUUCUUGCAAAUCUUAACAAGUAUGGUUUGCUAGAGAAACCUUUAUCAAAAAUAGAAGCAUGAGCUACAUAUAAAAUUCUCCUAAAUCUUUAGUGGUAAAAAGAGGAAAUGUGUAAAGAAACUACACACAUGCUUGAUAAGAAAAUAAUACAAUGAGAUGUGGGAAUAUAUUCCAAACUCCAAGCACAUUAGCAACAACACAAGAAGCCUGACUAACUCCAUCAAAUCUUUAUUCUGAGCAUUAUUUUAACUAUUGAACCCCGCGAGGCUAAUGAAUACAGCCAAGGAGGAUAGCAAUGCUAAUAUGUCAAAAACCAUGUGCUAGCAUCAAUCUUCUCUCCACCAAACAAUUUUUCAUACCACUUAAAUUUAGAGAAAUAAUCGCUUAAAAUGAACAAUUAUUGUUUUCAAAAUAAACUGAACAAAACACAGCACAUAAAAAUGGAUUUUAUGAAAAAAGGAAAAGGUAUUUGCACGUUGUACAAGUCUAGAUACAUUAACGCAAAAUCAAAGAAGAUACAAGCGUGAAAUGUACCAUUGGCACUUAACGCAAAAGGAAUGUGCCGUUUAUUUCAUUCCUUGAGCAACAUAACACGGCGUCAAUGGAUGUGAAAGUAAUAUCGUCACCCUCAGACACAAGAAAGACAUCUAUGAACAACCUAACUCGCUGUAAAGAUGACUUAGGUCUUGGAUAUAGCAACAAAAUUGGGAAAAAACAAUUUGACAGAUUAAAACAGAAAUAAAUAAAUAAGACGAAUAAAAGAUUUUAGCGGUGAGAUUCAGAAAUGAACCCUAAUUCUUUGCUUUCGCAGAGCAAACCAACAAAACAGAAUCGAUUUACAGAUCGCAAUUCGCCGACUGAAGAAAAUUACUGAGAAGUGAGAAGAAGAAUCCAUCAUUGGAUUUCGAUUGUGGAGAAAUGAGAAAUCGAGAAUCUUCGCCUUGCGGUGGAAUGGUUUUCUUAUCUCACUAUAUAUAGUGGAGUCAGGAGUGUGAUCAUAAACCCUAGAAGGGUG